rnacentral:lncRNA from 1 species
UUUCUCAACAUCAUAACAAAAUUAAAUAGGUUGAACACAGUAUCUACUGAUAAUGGGUACAAAGAUACAUCUUCAUAUAGCUUCCAAAACUCUGAAAGUUUCCAGCAACUACAUCAAACUAGAAGGACGUAAUAUUACAAAAGCACAUAACCCAACUGACUCUGGAUAGCAUGUGUAUCAUGGACAUAAAACCCAACUCAAGUUACGCUACAGCCUACUCGACCUUCCCCUUCCCAUGGGAAUCAUCACUCACUUGAGAAGAAGUUGGCUGGUUAAUGCUUGCUUUGGCGUUUGCCAGAAAGGUUGGAUCAGGCUGGGGCUCUUGAUGGGGAGUCUCCUUCAUGGCCAUGUAUAUGUAAAAGCCGAUCACUAGAUUGACCGAGAUGACAGCAAGGAAUCCACUGGCCAUGGUUUGCGCCGAGGGGGAAAGCUGACCGACACCUGACCAAGGAGGAAAACAUCAUUUCCGUAUGAACGUAUGUGCUUCAGUUCCAUACAAAAUGUUAAGUAUAACAUAAUGUAGAAGGAGCAAGAAUCAAACCUGGAAAAAUCUGGUAGAUAAACCCAUACAUGAUUGCAACUGGGGCCAUCCACAUCACCAUAGAUGUGACGGCGAACUUUGUGAUUACUGCCGACAUUGCUUCUCCUAAUGGGAAUGCUGAUAAAAAGGCAAGAUAAGCAUGCAUCGUGAGCUCAAUGCACAGUUACAAGCUAGACAGAACUAGCAUGGUUGCAGAUAUUAAAUGUGCGCAGUAAACAUCUUAGACAAGCAAACACAGCUGCCUACAACUGUGACCUCGCUACACAAUCUGACCGGACCUACCUCUCCACCCAAACUCAGAAUUUCAGAGUGCUGUAUGUGAGACUGAGACUCCAUACUUAUCUACUUCUACAGUCCACUCCUCCCAGAGCACAUCGCAGAUAUGACAGGAUAAACGCCCACUGCCCACUGCCGUACUGAUUCAUAGGCACGGGCAGAGCGAUUACUGAACGAAAUCGAGCGUCGAACCACAUGGUUAAACCACAGAAAAGCUCUCCAAUCUCUUCCCAAGACCAAAAUUUAACAGCCUAGGGAGGAGUACUACUGCUACUACUACCAAUCAUCUAAUCAAGGACUCGAAUCAAUCAACCUAGAAGAACAGAGCCUAAUUCCAUCUCGGUGGAGAAGCUAGGGCUCGGCGAGCUCGCCAAACAACACCAAAUUACACAUGGGCAGGGGAUGGAGCUUACCUGAUCUGGUGCCGCGAAGCAAACAGGGGGCCGCUUUGCUCCGAUCUGGAGGCGGGUCGGCGGAGGGGGCGAUCUGGUUCUGGAGGCAGAGGAAGACGAAGGGAGGCAGGAGUAGCAGCCAAGAUGCCACGGGAGGAGGAGGGGGACGAUGCAUUUUGGGCUCGAGAUUUAGAUGGCUCGGUCAUGUUUGGGCCGUGUAUGCUCGUUGACGUUGGGCCGUGGGCCGUCACAGGCUAUUCAACUACUUCCGAACCGCCGAGAAGGGCUGAGAGCCUGAGAGAGACCACGCCAGAUAUGCUCCUCCGCGCCGGGCUCCCCCACCUCCGCCGCCGCGCGGCGGCGCUGCCCCUGUCGCUCGCCCCGCGCCGGCUCUCGUCCGAGCCUCCGCCGGGCGUCGAAUGGAUAGACACGGUGGACUACCUGGACGAGACGGGGGAGGUCCUCUCGUCCGCGCCCGGGGCGCGCCCCGCGGUGCCGGGCGCCGACCCCACCAUCCUCUCCGGCUCCUCCGCCCACCCGCUCCCGCGCCCCGCCGCGGCGGCCCGCCUCGCCGCGCUCGCGCUCCGCCACCGCUCGGGGCCGUCCCUCUCCGCCGCGCUCUCCGCGCUCCCCUCCCAGCCCGACCCCGCGCUCCUCCUCCUCGCCGCCAACUCCCUCCCCGCCUCCGACCCCACCCCGCUCCUCUCGCUCGUCGGCUGGGCCCGCCACCAGCCCUGGUUCGUGCCCUCCGAUGAUCUGUCCUUCAUCGUGGCCGCGCGUCUGUCGCCGGCCACCCACUCCUCCGACCUCAUGUCGCUCUUCGACGACGCCCUCUUGCACCCGGAGCCAGCCUCUUUCCCCAAGACCCUCAACGCCGUCGUCUCCGCGCUCUCCACCCACGGCCUCCUCGAGCCCGCCUUCUACUGCUUCAAGCGCCUCCGCGACGCCGGCUUCCAUGGCCUCCAGACGCCCACCUGCAAUGCCCUCCUCUCGCUGCUGCUCGCCAGGGGGCUCGCCUUCAAGGCCUUCGAGGUGCUCGACGAAAUGUCUGUGGCGGGCUGCGAGCUCGACAAGGGCACUUACGAGCUUGCUGUGCCGGCGCUUGCACGUGCUGGAAGGAUUGACGCAUCACGCAAGCUGUUUGAUGAAAUGAGACAGAGGGAUGGGGUCGGGCCUGCCUCGCCGGGGGUGUACAGCACUAUGGUCGAUGUGCUGGCCAAAUCAGGGAGGCUUGACGCUGCGAUGGGGAUGUACAGGGAGAUGGUGGCAGUGGGGCACAGGGUGAGCACGGCUGUGAGCACCGCCAUGGUGGAGGGGCUUGUGAAGGCUGGGAAGCUGGAUGCAGGGAUGGAGCUUUGGGAGGAGAUGCGGCGAGGAGGGCUCCGACCAAGCUUUGGGUUGUACACCAUGGUAGUCGAGGCAAAUGCACGGUCAGGAAGGCUGGAUGUCGCUGCGAAGCUGUUUGGUGAUAUGGAGAAGUCUGGCUUCUUCCCUACUCCUGCCACAUAUGCUUGUUUGGUCGAAAUGCAUGCUUCAGCGGGGAAUGUGGAUGUAGCAAUGAGGAUGUACCACUCGAUGGCAAAUGCAGGGACAAGGCCAGGGCUGAGCACAUUUACAGCAUUACUGACCAUGCUGGCGAAUAAGAAGCUGCUUGAUUUGGCUGCAAAGGUGCUGCUUGAGAUGAAGGCAUCAGGGUUCCCCAUCGAAGUGACCGCGAGUGACCUGUUGAUGAUUUACAUCAAAGAUGGGUCGACGGAGCUUGCUCUCCGGUGGCUGCGGUUCAUGGGUUCUGCUGGGAUACGAACCAACAAUUUCAUCAUAAGGCAGCUCUUUGAGUCUUGCAUGAAGAUGGGGCUGUAUGACUCGGCACGGCCACUGCUCGAGACGUAUGUCGGUGCGGCGGCAAAGGUGGACAUGAUACUCUACACUUCAAUCCUCGCACAUUUGGUGCGGUGCCAGGAUGAGGACAGCGAACGGGCAAUCAUGAACAUCCUGAGCGUGAGCAGGCACAAGGCGCACGACUUCAUGUGCGGGUUGUUCACCGGGCCAGAGCAAAGGAAGAAGCCCGUGCUCUCCUUUGUCCGGGAGUUCUUCCAAGGCAUUGACUACGAGAAUGAGGAGAGUGCGGCGAGGUACUUUGUGAACGUGCUCCUCAACUACCUGGUGCUCAUGGGGCAGAUGAACCGUGCACGAUGCGUCUGGAAGGUCUCUUAUGAGAACAAGCUGUUCCCUAAGGCCAUCGUAUUCGACCAGCACAUUGCCUGGUCCCUGGACAUCCGGAACCUGUCAGUGGGAGCGGCGCUUGUCUCUACAGUGCACACGCUGCACCGGUUCAGGAAGCGGAUGCUCUACUACGGGGUCGUGCCGCGGCGCAUCAAGCUGGUGACAGGGCCGACGCUCAAGAUGGUGGUGGCCCAGGUGCUGGCUUCGCUGGAGUCGCCAUUCGAGGUGAGCAAGGUUGUCCUGCGCGCGCCCGGGGACUCGGUGCUCGAGUGGUUCAAGAAGCCGAUCGUGCAGCAGUUCCUGCUCAACGAGAUACCGUCGAAGUCCGACGUCCUGAUGCACAAGCUGAACGUUAUGUUCCCAAGCUCGGCGCCAGAGGCCCGGUCUCUGGCCCUUCCCAGGUCCCUUGGCAUGUCACGGUGAUGGUGCCAGUGUGUGCAAACCGUAAGCAUUAUGUAUACUACUAUAGCUUUUUGCCAAAGCAUGAGAACGUUCACUCGUCUCUCUGUUUGUACGUGUACAAUAAUGCUAAAUUUCAAAUGGUUUGUGGUACCAUAAUUUUUGAAGAAAGGAGAGAUAAUGCAAAUGCACGGCUCCUGUUGCGAAGAGUGUGACGUGUUGCACUUAUUUUUGGCAUAUAGUUGAGGAUUUUUCGAAUAUCCAAUUUUGUGCCUGGGCUCAUCUACAUCCAGUGAACAGUAAAUUCAAAAAAUUGCUAGAAAAAGUCCAAAAAUUUGGAAUGUAAGAUGAUUGAGUAUGUGAGGUGCGUGCUAAAUUUCAAAUCAUUUGGACAUCUUAGUAGCUCUCAGCAAAAAAAUAAAGGGUCUGCACAAACAGUGAACUUUUUCAUAGAUCUCAAAUUUGCCUUUUUUGUUGAGAGCUACUCAAACAUUCAAAUGCUCUGAAAUUUGGCACGGACAUCAGGCACUCAGUCGUCUUUCCCCACACAAAAAAACAGAAUUUUUUAAUUUUAUUUAAUGUUUCUAACGAUUUUUAUCACUCCCUGGCUCAGAUGAGCCUAGGAGCGAAAACGCUGCUCUCCGGAUUUUUAUCUUAUUUAUAUGAAGAACAGUUGUUACAUAUUGCGUUGUUACUAUCUCAGAAAAUCCAUUCCAGUGCACUUCAAUAACAUAUACGCAGGGUACAGCAAUACAUUAGGCCAAAUUAAGCACAAUCAUAUGCUGCACUUAAUUAAUACAAGUCCAAAUUUGCAAAAAAGAGAGAGAGAGAAGAGAGAGAGAGAGAGAGAGAGAGAUAGAGUACUAUGUUUUUUUUUUUGAGACAACGAUAGAGUACUAUGUGAUAAGCGAUGUGAACGAAGGGGAAAACGGGCCGAUUGCAGGCCCAUGUAGCGAUUGCUAGAGCCUCUGCUUGGUUACCCAUCGGGCGCCAUAUUUGGCUUAUUAAUGUACCAGAUAUUAUUUGUAUUCUGUCAAACAUUCCUAUUAUUUGGCUUAUUAGAUAUUUUUUCUCAAGCGAACCAAAACCUGUGGUUGGAUGGUUAGAGGGAAUGUGGCAUCCCCAGCCCAUCAGGAUUCAAGUCAUGGUGCACAUCACAGAUGACAAACAAUAUUGGCACACUCUGUUCCAAGAUAAGUGUCUCUGAUUUAGUACAAAGUUGAUUUAAUAAUAAUAAUAUUGGCACACUCUCUUUCAAGGUAAGUGUCUUUGAUUUAGUACAAAGUUGAUUCAAUAACAGCAAUACUGGCACACUCUCUUCCAAGAUAAGCGUCUCUUAUUUAGUACUCCCUCCGUCUCAAAAUUCUCGUCUUAAAUUUGUCUAAAUACAAAUGUAUCAAGUCACAUUUUAGCAUUAGAUACAUCCGUAUCUAGACUAAUCCAAGACAAAAAUUUUGAGACGGGGGGAGUACAAAGUUGUACUAAAUCAAUGACAAUUGUUUUGGGAUGGAGGGAGUAUAUCUUCUCAUCAACGGGCUUAAAAAGUUAAAUGAGUAACUUGUUAGCUUCGCUCAUUAAACUUGUUCUUUUUAACAAGCUUAGAUUAAAAUUCAACCCGUUACUCAACAAGUUCGAUUCGAGCCGAACUAUGUCACGAGUUGCUCGUUUAGCUCAUGAGUUUUGAGAUUUUAAAUUCCAGCCCUACUCCCCUCAUUGCAAGCUGAAUAAGGACGUGUAAAUUUUAUUCUAAAUGUAGUUGCUCGCCGAAUUAUUAAUUUUUGUAGAACAACCCUCUAGGUUUUAUUGAUCAUAAGAAAUCGUUACAGGGAUACAAAUGAAAUCAUGAUAUUGACCCCACUAAAUAUGACGACCAUGAGUUAACGAUAAAGAGAACCUAGCGAAAGUUAACCCGCCAUCAUAAACAUGAUUACAAAUCGGCGAGCCUCAAAUUUUCAUCGGAAAAUUAUACGGCAUCGCUACUAGGUGAAGUUGGUUCCUUCUUCUUAGUGUUGCACCGACGGUCAUGUCCAUGUCAAGCUCAUCCGGACGCAUUCCGGCUGGGAGGCUCCAAUGGAAGAAGUAUAGAAGCCGAGCCAAGAUGAGCUCCAACGUGGCCAACCCAAAAGUACCGCCAGGGCACAUCCUCCGCCCGCUCCCGAACGGCAAGUACUCGAAUUGUGUACCGUUGUAAUCCACGGUAAUGUCCUCAAACCUCUCUGGCUUGAACUUGUCUGCGUCAUGCCAAUACUCGGGGUUCCUCGCUAUCCCCCACGCAUUGACCAUGACCCUGGAGCCCUCCACAAUCUCAAACCCAUUGACGUUGCAAGUCUCCCGGCAGACACGGGGGAGCAGGAGCGGUGCCGCCGGGUGCAGCCUCAGACCCUCCUUGAUCACCAUCUUCAUGUAGCGCAGUUUUUCCAUGUGGACCUCAUGGUCUUUUAGACUCUUGUUGUCCAAUGUUUGUCGCACCUCCGCCUGAGCCUUCACCAUCACCUCCGGGUUCCUCAUGAGCUCCGACAUGAUCCACUCCAGGAUUGACGACGUCGUCUCCGUCCCUGCCGUGAACAAGUCCUAUAGCAAAUUUAUAGUGUGGGAUUAAUCCGACUACAAUAAUAUAACUUUCUUUAUAGGAUGGAAGAUUAUCCCCCUGCUUUCUUUUCUUUCCAAGAUGAAAAUUUUAUAAUCCUAUUUUCUCCUAUACUAUGUAUUUUUCUCGUAAAUGUAAAUAAAUCCCUCCCCUUAAUUUCAACUUAACCACCUUCACCUAAAAAGAUCAUUUACCACCAGUCCACCACCCCCUCCUCCUGAUUUCCUCCAUCCGUGAAACUCUUUCAAAUAUUCCGUAAUAUGCACAGUCAUUUGUUAACGGUGGUCCUAAGCCCUAAUUCUUUCAAAAACUAUUCAGAGAGCAGAGGACCUUGGAGCACUUACCACUGUUAUUGCCUUGAUGUUUGUGAUGCCGAUGGGGAACUCAAGCUGCUCCUCAUCCUUGAUCCUAAGCAUGACGCUCAGAAGGUCAUCGUCUCCGGUAUUUUUCUCCGCUCGCCGCGCCUCGCAGAUGGCUAUGAUCUUGUCAAAGAUGGCGUCGAACUGCCGGCGCGCUCCCCAGAGCGAGCGUCUCAGCCCAGUGACGACGUCCACAAACCGCAGCGAAGGGAAGAGGUCCCCGACGCAGAAUCCCCCAGUUAACGUGAGCAGCACAUUCAUCGCAGCCAGAAACUGCUCUUGGAGCUCGGCGUCGCAGCCGUCGCCAAACGUUGCCCUUGCGGUGAUCGUGUUCGUGCACGACACGAGCAGCUUCCUCAUAUUGACGGGCUGGCCGCCUCCACCGGCGGCGGCGGCGGCGCGGACAUCCCUGACGAGGGACAUGGUCUCGCUGUCCCUGAUGGGCGCGAACUGCCUCACCUUUCGCGCGCUCAGGAGCUCCACCAUGCAGAGCUUGCGCAGCGUCCUCCAGUACGCGCCGUACGGCGCGAAGGCUAUGUCGGCGCUCCCGUAGCCCACGAUCUCCGCGGCCAGAAUUGUGGGCCUUGACGCGAAGUUGAGGGAGCUGUCCCGGAGCACCUCCUGCGCUGCCGCCGGCGAGGAGAUCACCACGGCGUCCACCUGGCCCAGCCGCAGGUACAUCACUGGGCCGUGCUUCUUGGCCAGGUCCCGGAGAGCGACCUGCGGCGUCGCUGUCCGGAGGUGGAGGAGGCUUCCGAUGAAGGGGAGACACCGUGGGCCGGGAGGCUUCUUCCCCUUGGAACUUGCUGUCUUUUUGCGGCUAAGCAGAGACACGAGAAUCGUCAGUGAGACGAAGGAUAGGAAGAGGAGGGUGGCUGCGCUUAGCUCCAUGAGGGUCGGGAUGGCUUGAUCGAAUUUGAAGCUUUGCUUGGGAUGAAGAGCUACUAGCAGGAAGUGCCCUUUUUAUAGGGAAAGGGAGGGGAAAGAUUUGGUUACCGCUCGUUGUCUAUUCUUCUCGGGAUACGGCAGGUUUGCACGGGUUGACGAAGUCAUCAGGCGCUUUCCACCGAGGGAACAUCGCGGAGAGCAUGUAAAUUUUAAAAAUACGAACUGUCAAAUCUAGAACUUAAAUAAUGGUGGGCUGGUUCGCCAAAAAAAAUAUUCACCUUAAACCACUAUUCUCAUGUGUACUAAUUGUGUACAUGAAAAUUACAGUACAUGGUUGUACGAAAUAAUAAUAGUACUACAUGAGAGCUCUACAACCGAGUGCCCCAAAUAGACCUCAAACACUCGGGCUGUAGUUGCCCGUCCAUCACUGACCGGUCAUGAUCUUUUAACCCAGACAAACGCCUCAAACGGUUCUUAAACGCCCGAGCUGACCGGCAUCCUUAUAUCCAGCCUAAAUAUGGGGCGAAUAUGGACCGCCGGGCACGCCCGCCACGUCCGACUGACGAACGGGUUCCAGCCGGAAACACCCCGAAACCCGGCGGUACGAAGCUCGUCACCUCCGUCGGACAAGUGGCGCCGCGUGGCGCAGCUCCGGCGAGCCGCAUAGUGCCUAGCCCGGCUAUUUAAGUCGACCCGCGGCACCGAAAUCCUACCAUCCAUCCACAUUUCCCUUCUCCUGUCCGCUGCCAUCACUUUUUAUUCCACCCGUCCGCCUAGUAGCCAUGCCCCCAUGCUGCCGGGUGAGGAACGAGCCCUUUCUGACGCCGGAGCGCCGGCUCGAGCUCCUUGAGCAAAUCCGGGCUAGGCGCGAAGCCCGGAUCGUCGCAGGGCUACCUCCGGAUGCAGUGGAUCCGGAGGAGUUGGAGGAGGAGGAGGAGGAUGAGUCAGAGGAGGAGAAUGUGCGGGACGCUGACGACGAGGAUCUGCAGGCAGAGCAGCAUGCCAUCCUCGAUUGUCUUCAGUCGGAGGACAGACAGCGUCGCCGGCAGGAGAUGGAGGCGCAGGAGUCCGCGGAGUAGGCGGAGAUGCUCGCUUAUAUGGAUGAGGUCGAGUAGGAGGAGGAUGAGCCGGAGCCCUCCUACCCACCCUCCAGCCGGCGCCCGACACCAUCGCCGUGGACAUCUCCGACGACAAAGAGUAGUUAGGGCAGUACGUAGAUGUAGUACGUAUGAUUUCUUUUGCAUUCCUUGUAUGGAUUUAGGGGAUGAAAUAUGAGAGACGGAUGCAAAGUUGUUAAUUUGAGGCGUGCCCGGUCGCGUCCACGGACGUUUGAGGGGCUGGAUUUGCAUAGUCCGGCUGUAGACGCUCUCAAAUGAACAUGUAUAUUGUGCGGUAUAAGUAGGGUUCCAAAUUUCCAUCUAUUUUUCAGGCAAUUUUCCCCGAUUUUUUUUUCUACAUCACCAUGCAGAGUUGCAGACAUUUACACAGAACUGCGUGGACGCGUACCCAGCACCUGAGUGCCCUUGAGAAUUUCUCACUUACCGCUAGGUCUCAUACAUCAGCGUAGAGCAAUCAGAGUAGAAAAUUGGACUUGCACACGAAUGGACCACGUGCGGUUCAUCCUGGUGGCGCCGGCCGCCACACAUGAGCCGACCGGGACAAAUUCCCACCUUUUAAGGAUCUCCCCCGUAGCGACAUCGCGAAUAUACUGCCACUAUGGACCCGGUACGUGCAUCGCUGCUAGCUAAUCUCGAUCCGGUCAUGGUCGCGACCAGGUACGUGCAACUAAGAGAAGAUGGAAGCACGUCUGCAUGGCGAUGUAGAAGGAGGAGGUACCAUAUGGACGGAGGAGGUACGUACCGGGCCUGUGCAGCUUGUCACAAUGUCACGAGGUCGAUGUGCAUGGCAUGAUCUCGAUGAUGUUACUUAAUUUGUUGGAGAACAUCUGUUUGCGGGAGAUUGUUGGAGAAGACUCGCAUGGCGACAUGCAUGCAGUCCAAAACACAACACGAUAUGCUUUGCUGUUUGUCUGCAUUGACCCAGCAAUAUACAUACAGUCUACCAUUCAAAAAUAACACUACAGUCUACCGUUCAAAAAUAAAACUUGAGUACUAUACAUAUAGUUCAUCCAAGAGUAUCUACAGUCGCACACCUCAAAUUCUACUCAAACGCCCGGACGGACGGUUCGGUCACCGUCAAAAAAGCACGACCCAAACGGAUGUCUCAAACGGACAUCAAACGCUCGAGCUGACCAGCACCACUCAUAUCCAGCCAAAAUAUAGGGCGGAUAUGGGGAUACAUGUGCGCAUCCACCACGUCGGACCCGAUAGGCCUACCCUACCAUAAAUUGCUUUCAAAUCCAUCAAACCCUCCCACCUCCACCCUUCCCCGCAUCCGAGCCCUCAUCAUCUGCCGCCUUUGCUCCCCAUCUUCAUCGCCAGUCCCAAUCCGCCUCCCUAGAUGACCUCCAGCCCGUUCCUGACCGUCGCGGCCAAGGCUGCGUCCACCUCGUCCCAUCGACGUCCUUUCCUCGGCUUCGUCAUGCAAGCCGAAGAACAUCACGGCGACGGAGGCCGCGAGAGAGGGAUGCGGAUGCGGACAUCGAUGAGCACCCCCUCCCCCCGUCGUCGCCUUAUCCGGGACCCCGCACCCCAUCCAUCCACCGUCGGACCAAGCUGGGAUAGAGGAGGAUCACGUUCGAUUAGGGCAUCCCGGGGAGCUUUUCGCCAACACAGAUGCAGCCGGUGGACGUCUGUCACUCGCCAUAGCUCAUUCGGCUGUAGACAAGCACGGGCACCAGCGGUGCCCAGGCUGCCCAUGACCUAUUCGACGGAAUGACACAACAAGACUUGGUAUGUUCUUGUUGCUCCUGUCCAAUCAACUUUGCAUAUGCCAUGUUCAAUGUUUUGCAUAGACCGCUAGUUCAUUUCGGACAUGAUCCAUGCUUGGAAACCAUGAUCAUUUAUGAGUUUAUCUUGUCGGACAUGAUCAAUGAUAAUCAAGAUCUGGCCCAAAAUGCACUAUGAGUUGGGGGAUCCAACUUGCCCUUCACUUGAAGUUGGGUCAACAUCAAAUCCAAUCCAAGCAAGAAGAAAAAGAAGCCAAAGACGACAAUGACAAGUGGUCCGACAUUCUCAACUUUUAAGGAUAUCUUGUUGGUCAAAUCUUGGUUGGCCACAACAAUAUACCCAAUAUGAGGAAGUAUUGGGAGAAGAUUUGAAAGGAAUAUCAUGAAUAAAAAAAGCAAUAUGUGGAGCCGCAUCAUAUCGUCACCAAUUGCAGUGUGGCAUCUCUCCAACAUCGACGGGGGAUCAUUCAAGCUGAAGUGAACAGGUAUGUCAGCUAUUAUUCACAAGUUCUUGGCGGCCCUCAAAGUGGGAUGGGAGCGGUAAACUCACAUAAGCUAAAUUAUUUCAUGAUGUCAUCAUUUGCGUAUGCUUGUUUUUGUUGCAUUCUCAUGCUCAUGCAUAUUUUGUUUGCUAGACGUGGUGUGGCGUCCACUAUAUAUCAAGAAACGGAGAAGAAACCAUUUGGUUUUAGCCAUUGUUGGGUGAUAAUAUUGAAUGGCAAACCAAAGUGGACACAACUUGUGGCCGAUCUCAAGGCCGGUAAGAAGAGGAAUUAUAGCUCAAGCUCCCACCAAUCAAUUGGGUUGGACGAAGAAGAGGAAGAUGUUGUAGUAGAGAAUGGAAGAGACACCAUGCCAAAGGAUAACCAGCACGUGAUGAGAAACAAGUGGGCGAAGGCAAGGGCCUCCCGUGACGCCGCGGCUACAAAAAUGUCCUCCACAUGGACGGGUAUUUUUUCGGUUAGGGAGAACAAGAAAGAGGAGAUAUACACGCUCAUGCUGGAUGCGCAAAAGCAGAUAAUGGAUUGGGACCGGAAGAGGGCGAAGAAGAAGUUGAAAAUUGGGAGGGAGAAGAUCAAUUUGAAGAAGAAAGAGGCGGCGAUGAAAUGGGAGCUCGAGAAGGCCAAAGACAUUUGGAGAGAUUGACCUUGAGAAGGAGCGGUUGCAAAUCGCACAAAACGUGAUGGAUACGAAGAUAAUGUUGGCGGACGAAAGCCUCUUGGAUGUGCAUGCAAAGAAGUGACUUAUGGGGAUGAUGGAGGAGAUCAACGACCGUAGGGACUACAAGGUGGAAAGGGAGGCUACGACAUAGCGGAACAUGCGGCAAGGAUGCAGGCGAAGCAGGAGGCAAGGAUGGUCACGAAGCAGGCGGCAUGGAUGGCGUCCGGCGAGUGAUCCAUCACGCUCGGACAUUGAUUUCAUUUUCGUAUGUUCGGAUUGUUGAAUCAUGAUUUGUUUUGCUUUAUCAUAUUUGUUUUGAACAGUUGAAUUGGGACGAUUUGUAUCGUAUAAUCGAUGUGCAUGAAUUAUAUGAAUUUAAGAAUCUGCAUUUAAGGUGUAUGGAUAUGCGACAGCUUAAAUGAGAGGCCUCCUGUCACGGCCCUAGAAUUUGCUUGCCAUUAGUUGCCUUAAAGCAUCCAUGCAUCAUGUUAACUUUUCAAUUAAAGUUGAAAUGGGGAUGUUGAAACCCUAGCACUAAAUGAAUUCAACUAGGUUCAAAUAAACAAUAUUUUCAAUGAACCCAAAAUGCCUUUGGAAAUGUUCAUGAUUUUUGAUAAAGGUGAAAGCCUCUGCCAAAAAUGAUAAACAUAUUUCUAGGUCAUUUCUGGAUUUUUGGAAUAACUCAUAUUGUACUUGAAUUGGGGCAUUUAAAUUCUAUAAAUAUUUUAAAUGCUCUAAUAAUUCUGAAACUAGUUGAGGGCUGUUGGGAAUAAUUUCAACAUUGCCCACAAAUAUUUUCAGGAUUUUUGAAAAUGCUCUAGCAUUUUUAAUAAAGACAAAACAAUUGCAGAAAAUAGAAAACAGAAACAAUUAAUAAAAGAGAGAGAGAGAGGGUUUUUACCUGGCACUCACCUGGGCCUUACCUGUGUCGUCCAGCUCCCGCCAGCCGGACGCCGCGCGCGUGGUCGCCGCGCGCCGGCACGCGCCCGAGCCACCUCCUGCUUCCGCCGACGCUAGAGGCUAGCUGGACGCGCCAUGCAACCGCCCCAAACCCUCUGGCCUAUCCACUCCUUCUCUCCCCUCCUCUGCUCUCUCCUCGCAGCGCACCCGAGCGCAGCCGUCGCCGCCGCUCGCUGCCGCCGCAGCCACCAACCACCCCUCGCCCUACCGAUGAGUCCAGAAGCUCCACCGCGACGCCCUCGCCCUCCCCACCGAGCCACGCUUCACCGGAGGCCCUGCAUUGCCGCCAUCGGGUCGUCUUCAACCUCGGUACCCACCGGACGCCGUUCAUCGAUUCACCUCGCUCCGGUCGCCCCCGAGCCCAUCGAUGCAUAUAUGUUUGGUGAAAGAAGUGACUUUCUCUAAGUUCACGUGCACUAGGUGUAAGUUGCCGCCAUGAAUUUGAGAAAGGUUUGUUUUGUUUCCCUUGGAAUCAUCCCAAAUCAGUCAUGCAUACGUGCGAAGUAUUCUAUGGUUUGGUAGAUUGAUUACCUCCACUCCAUAUGUGUUCCUAGCACACCAAGCCACUGAUUGGUUUGUUCAAGGAGAAGAAGUUUCUUCUUAGGAGCUAGACUUACGCAAGGACUUCGAUAUCCUCAUUGAUGGUUCCCUCCUGAACUCGGUAGUGUUUCAUUAUAAGACUACUAUGUGGUCAUGCUUGUCUUGGACAACGUAUUCACAUGUAUGUAGCAGAACUAGCUCAUGUCUUGGAGCUUGCUAUCGUAGUUCUCUCCCCGAGAAUCUCGCAACGUCAUCUCGUCGAUUUGUGUUGCCAACUUUCAUUUCUCUUUCUAGACUUGAUGAGUCUGGAAUAUCCUGACACCAACCAGAUCUGAAUCUCAGGCAGAUAUGAUGGUUGGAACAUUCCCAACAUUUGCAUUUUGUUCCCAGCUUGCACCCCAUCAUGCCAAUUUUCCAUGGGAUGCCCUUCUCAGUAGUUGCUGUCCAGGAUCAUCUUCAAAAGUGGUGCUGUCAUGGGUUCCAUCCAUUUCCGGUGAUAAGCAAAAGUCAUCCAUUACGUUGUCUUCAACAAGGUAGUCCACACCAUCCAUUCGAAUCCGGAUAUGCCAUUCCUUUGAACUCCGCCAAACGAUCGAUUGUGAUUGCCUUAGGUUGGUAUAAAGAGUUUCAGUGAUCUAGAUAUCAAAAGUAAUUCUUUUUGCCACUUAAGGGAAUAGUUCUUCAAGUCACCUCCCCCAAGGUGCCCCGUUACGGGGUCAUGGCAAUUAUUUCCUCGCCACCUUGACACCAUCCACCAUCUUUCUAAGCGUGGAAUUAUUGCCCACCAAAUCAAACCCCGUCGUUUGUUCUUUCAUCCCUCUCGAUGUGUUUUGUGUCUCAACUUGAGAUGUUUCAACAUCUCAUUCCGCGAGUUGAGAUUGUAUAGUUUGAUCUUUGAGAAGAUCAAUCCUAGUAGAGUUUCUUUCCGUCGUCAUCACGUGGAUGAAGAUCUCAAAAGCGAGGAUGUCAAGAUCAACGUAUGCAACGAAUCAACAAACUUAUGAGGUGCAACUUGGAUCGUGAAGAUUGUGUUGGUCUUGUGCCCCCUCUGUCUUCUUACCUCACAUCUUGAAUCUCGGGACGAGAUUCUUGUUUAGUAGGGGUGAGUUGUCACAGCCCUAGAAUUUGCUUGCCAUUAGUUGCCUUAAAGCAUCCAUGCAUCAUGUUAACUUUUCAAUUAAAGUUGAAAUGGGGAUGUUGAAACCCUAGCACUAAAUGAAUUCAACUAGGUUCAAAUAAACAAUAUUUUCAAUGAACCCAAAAUGCCUUUGGAAAUGUUCAUGAUUUUUAAUAAAGGUGAAAACCUCUGCCAAAAAUGAUAAACAUAUUUCUAGGUCAUUUCUGGAUUUUUGGAUUAACUCAUAUUGUACUUGAAUUGGGGCAUUUAAAUCCUAUAAAUAUUUUAAAUGCUCUAAUAAUUCUGAAACUAGUUGAGGGCUGUUGGGAAUAAUUUCAACAGUGCCCAAAAUAUUUUCAGGAUUUUUGGAAAUGCUCUGGCAUUUUUAAUAAAGACAAAACAAUUGCAGAAAAUAGAAAACAGAAAUAAUUAAUAAAAGAGAGAGAGAGAGAGAGAGUUUUUACCUGGCACUCACCUGGGCCUCACCUGUUUUGGCCUAGCCCACUACCUGGCGCUGCCAGUCGUCGUCCAGCUCCCGCUAGUUGGACGCCGCACGUGUGGUCGCCGCGCGCCGGCACGCGCCCGAGCCACCUCCUACUUCCGCCGACGCUGGAGGCUAGCUGGACGCGCCAUGCAACCGCCCCAAACCCUCUGGCCUAUCCACUCCUUCUCUCCCCUCCUCUGCUCUCUCCUCGUAGCGCACCCGAGCGCAGCCGUCGCCGCCGCUCGCUGCCACCGCAGCCACCGACCACCCCUCGCCUUACCGAUCAGUCCAGAAGCUCCACCGCGACGCCCUCACCCUCCCCACCGAGCCACGCUUCGCCGGAGGCCCUGCAUCGCCGCCAUCGGGUCGUCUUCAACCUCGGUACCCGCCGGACGCCGUUCAUCGAUUCACCUCACUCCGGUCGCCCCCGAGCCCACUGAUCUGCUCAUCGACCUCCCUGUGAGCUCUGCCGCUUUUCCCCUCUUCUUUCCCGCGCGUUUGCACCCUCUAGGCCAUAGUUCCACCAUGGCCGAAGCUCGCCUCCGCUCGAUCUUGUCGCCGGCGUCACUCCGGCGACCAUUUGGUCAUCCCGUGCUACCCAACAUGCUUGACGCAUCACGUAGUGCCUCGCUAGCGCCUCAGUUUCUGCGUUUGCAGGCUGCAGCCCCAACCCCGCACUUGUCCGAACUCCGGCCGCCGCCGCGAGCUCCCUUCCGACGAGCUCAGUCCACCCCAGCUGCUCCCGCUUGCCCCAUUUGAUGCGCGCGAUCGCCAGCUCCCAGUAGAGCCUCUCCGCCGCUCAUUUGGUCGCCGGAGGAGCUUUUCCGACGCCCUCCGCCGUCUCUGGUGUCACCGGCGACGACAUGCGGGUCAACUCCGGUGAGUUUGACCCAGCUGACCAGGGGUUUGACCUCCCCUGGCUCACUGACAUGUGGGCCCCAGGCCACUAAUUAAACUAGGAUUAGUAUUAGUUUAACGCUAACUAAAUUUAGUUAGUUAACUAACCACUGAGCAGUGGGUCCCACUGGUCAGGGUUGACCGCUGACAUCAUAGUGACGUCAUGCUGAUGCAAUAACUCUUUUCUGGAUUUAUUCUUUUACAGGAAAUUCCAGAAAAUUGCCUAAACUUCUAAAAAUCAUAGAAAAUCAACCGUAACUCCAAAUGAAAUAAAUUAUAUAUGAAAAAUUAUCAGAAAAAUCCAAUCUAUCCAUUUAUGCUACUUUCAUGCAUGUUGAACCAAAUUAUCCCCCCUGUAUAAGUGAAAACAUGAUAAUGGCAUUUUAAAUACCCCUUAUGGAGUUUGCAUAUGAACCCUUGGUUCAUAUGGACUUCAUUUAAAUUGUUGCUAGAUGCAUUAGCACAAAUCAUAGCAUAUUGCCAUGUCAUGAUCAUGCAUCAUAUUGUCGCAUUUGCAUUGAUUGUGUUCUUCUCUAUUACUGGUGCUUGUCCCCUCUCGGUAGGCGUAUUCCGACGAUGAGUUCGAUGACACCAUUGAAGAGCUAUAUUAUCUUUAGAAGUGCCAGGCAAGCAAAACCCCCUUGUUAAUUCCGAUACAAUCCCACUCUCUCACUCCUGCUCUCUUUUACUGCAUUAGGACAACAACGAUUCAACUGUUACUUACUGCGGUAGUUGAACCCCUUAUCCUCUGCAUGACCUGUCAUUGCCACAGUAAAUAGAUGAAACCCACUAGCAUGAGUAGGAGUUGUUUGAGCCCUGAUGUGCCUACUAGUUCAUGCUUGUUUGUCAUGCCUGCUACUGCUUAGAGUUGAGUUAGGUCUGACUCAUCGAGGGUGAAUUGGAACAGUGAUGAACAUGUCCUACUGUGUGUGAGCUAAGUGUGUGAACACGAUUUGGUAAAGGUAGCGGUGAGAGGCCAUGUAGGAGUACAUGGUGGGUUGUCUCACUGAAACCGUCCUCAGGAACUGAGUUUUGUGUUUGUGAUCCAUGAAACAACUACUACCACACAUUGGGCCCUGAAAUAUGACCUCGCUCGACUUAUUGACCCCUCUCGUCCUCUGUCCAAAAGUUGCAACUAGUUUCUGGUGUUUGUAGGUUAUGUGUUGGCGGUCGUGCGUAGCGCUGACCAUAGGGGUGGGCUAUGAUGCGGUAGAUACACUGUGGCCGGGUAUGCCGGGCGCCCGUUUGGCGUCUCAGGACCCUGUACACACCGUUUGGGCCGUUGAGGACACCCCGGCCGGAUUUCCUUGCGGAUGGAACCCGAAUAGGCGAUAAACCUGGACUAGAGACUUGUGCGGUUAGUCAGGUCAUGGUCUACACCCACGUCGGCUUUCGCUUGAAGUCUGCCGAGCACAUGUCGUGUGCAGACGCUAAGUGGUGGAAACAUGUGUGACGAAGUACACCCCUGCAGGGUAUAAAACUAUUCGAAUAGCCGCGUCCGUGGUAAAGGACUUCUGGGUUGCCUAUAACAGUUCAUAGACAAGUGAAAGUGGAUACUCUAAUAUGCGCAAGAUAAGCGUGAGUGCUAUGGAUGGCGUUCUCGUAGGGAGACGGGAGCGGAUCCGUAGUGGUGUAUUGAUAUGGUGAAUAUGUGGACUCGUGUGCGCCACCUCAAAAGAGUUACUUGCAGUCGUAGUUUAAGAUAGCCACCGAGUCAAAGCUGGCUUGGUGCAGUUAAACUCCACCACCCCCCUCUGUUGAUACCGAUGCAUAUGUAGCUAGUUCUGAUGUAAGUCUUGCUGAGUACUUUUGUACUCACAUUUGCUUAGUUUAUGUUUUGCAGAGAGACUCCAGUCUCGCUAGUAGUUUCGCGUGGACUUCGACGUUAGCUUGAUACCUCAGCUACGAUCUUGUGCCCUCGGCAGGAUCUGGUAGAUAGUCAGGCUUCUUAGCCUUUUUCAUUUGUAGAUGUCUGUACUCAGACAUGUUAAGCUUCUGCAUGUGUUUUGAUUUGUAUGCUAUGAUUGUUGGGUCAUGAAACCCAUGUUUGUAAUAUCUCGCUCCUCGGAGCCUAAUGAAUAAAUACUUGAGUCGUAGAGUUAUGUUGUGAUGCCAUGUUGUAUUUACACAUAUCGAGCAUAUUGUGUGUAUGAUUGAAAUGCUUGGUAUGUGUGGGAUCCGACAAUCUAGUUGUUUAUCCUUGUCAGCCUCUUAUAUGGGAAAUGUAGUCUAGUGCUGCCAUGAGCCAUAGUAGUCCGCUACAGCCCGGUUCACUGGAGUCCUGUUAGCCCAGCACUACUGCUCAGGACGCUUGACUGGUCGGCAUGUGUUUCACUUCGUUCAUGUGUCUGUCCCUUUGGGGAAAUGUCACGCGAUGACAUCCGGAGUCCUUCUUAGCCUGCUACAGCCCGGGUUCCUGGAGUCCUGUUAGCCCAGUGCUAUAGCCCGGAUUCACACGCUGCUGACCGACAUGCUCGAUGUGAUUCAUGUAUGCUUGUCCCCAUAGGUUGGUGCCGCUUUGGGUUCACGACUAGCCAUGUUGGCCCGGGUUCUCUGUCAUAUGGAUGCUAGCGACACUAUCAUAUACGUGAGCCAAAAGGCACAAAUGUUCCCGGGCCAUGGUAAGGUGACACCCGUGGUAAUACCGUGCGUGAGGCCGCAAAGUGAUAUGAGGUGUUACCGGCUAGAUCGAUGUGACUUGGAAUCGGGGUCCUGACAGUUUUGGUAUCAGAGCCUGACUGCCUGUAGGAUUACCAAGCCAAACUGGUCGAAGUUGAGUCUAGAAAUGCUUUAGUUAUGUAAGGGAAUUGAUUGUGGAAGGGAACGUAAGGCUCUUUUUACUCCUUUACCUUAUGCCCUUCUGAUCUGAGUCAUCAUUUUCUCUUCUACGGGGAUUAAGAACUAGGCCUUCUCAUCUAUCUAUCAGGAUGACAUGUUACUAAUCCAUAGACUUAUAGAAUUGAUAGUUUCAAAGCCUCAGUUCCGUUUCUACUACUUCCGUAUGUUGACAGUUGAUCUCGGAACAUUGAUAUGGUGUUGUGAGUGGUCAUGCCACCAUUUUGCAGGAUGUCUCAAAUCUUUUGAGCAUUUACAGCCGUUAUGCUGUCCGAGUCAUCCCAGGUCUCUAACUAGUCUGAUGCAUUUGCAAAUUCCUUCUUUCCGUUCCCGAUGUCCUUUUGGGCCAGUUCAACCACACUAAUCGGUCUGUUGAGGUACUCUACUACCUCGACAUAUAUGUUGGAGCUAUUAUUAUGACCCUAGGUGUUUUAGGGAGUCACCUAGUAAUUUAGCAAUGCCUUCGUAUCCCCAGUGUGAUGAUUCUGGCCAUCAUUCUUGAAAGCAUACCGUGAUGCCAUUUAGUAGUAGGUAUUCUAUUCCUGGGUUCUUGACCCAAGAUUCACUCUACUUACCUCGUGUUGAUAGUGUUGCUCGUACCUUUAGGAUACUAGUAACCUUUGUGAUAGUCUUCGAGGUCUGUGGUAUAUCAUUCUUCCAAAUACCAUGAACCAUCCUUGGCAGGAGUUCCUUUGAACCAAAAGAUCACAAUAAGAGUGCUCUUGACGAGUCCUCCAUUCUGCUUUGUGAAUCUGCCAGUCCUACCCUUCUGCAUGGGUUAUCUGGAAGAAACCUGUUGAACUUGGUUUGACAUGUUAAUCUAUGCAUCCACAACUCAGAAAGAUAUACAUUCUCUUGAGUUGUCCCUCCUCAGUUGUAUCCCGACCCUAGUCUAUCACUUGAUAGUCAGGAAUAGUUGUGCAUUCGUGUUCAUCGAUGCAUAUUAUUCUUGUGGUCCGUCAAGCCAUUCUAUUCUAGAAUUACUAGGAGAAACAAACUCCAGUACCUCAUCCAUAUCUAGGAUUGGGUCAAAGCAGUUGUAUUCCGCAGAUCAAAAUGCCAAUCCAGCUUUUGAUUAUGUUCUACCCUGAAGUAUUGCCCUCUUUAUGUUAGGAAUAUCAUAGGAAUUGCACAACCUCCUAUGAACUCUUGAUACAGUGAUACUUCUCGCCAUCAUCGUUCAUUCCUCGGCCUCCGUGUUAUUGUAACCGAAAUGCCGACAAGUGAACCGUGAUGUGUGAAAUCAAUACUCCGAGCAACUGCUUGGUAGUAAAUGGACAAUAUUCUCAUUCUUAGCGUGUUGGUUAUUGAACUACCAUUCUAAGAUUGAUCGUGCUACCUAGUCCAUAUCUCCAGGUGCACUCAUCGACCAAUGAGUUAGGAUUGUGACAAUCCCUCGCUCCUUGAUCAUAUCGUCUUGCCCUGAAAAGCAAGAUUGUUCUCGAGCUUAAUAACAUAUCGGUGGUUCAUGAUUUUCCGAAUAUCUUCUCGGAAGUUUUACCUGGUUGUCCCCUGACUGUUAUGUUGAGUUCGUGAUCAAGUUGGUUUUCCAAUAACCACCCCUUCUCCAAGAAUCUGUGUUGGAUACCCCUGAGCUAGAUGGUUAAGCUAAACAACAACUUGGAGAGUUGGAAGAUAAAAGGCUUUGCCGAAUUUGGUUCUUUCUGAAGGGAUAUCUUUGUGUUGCGUGCGUGUUGAAGAAAGAUGAUAUCUUCGCCAAUUGGUCCUCGUGAUCAGUUGUUGGAUCUAUUGUCUUGUCAAAACUUUGACUUGAGUAUGGGCUAUCGUCAAGUCAAAUCAGAACCAACGAUGUUCGUAAUGUUGUCUUACUCAUGGUUGAUCCCUCGAGAAUACACCAUUACAUCUUUUGGUCUGACCAAUGCAAUCACCAUGUUCACAUGAUGGUGGAAGUCCAGUGAUAUGGAAAUUCCGAUGAGUUGUUGUUGAGCUCAUCAGCGGCAUUUUGUCUCCCCCAUGAUUCAUGUUGAACAUUAAGCUAGCGCUGGAAACUUUGUAAGCUUUUCCUUUGUGUUCCGCCCAUGAGGUAUAUGUUUGGUGAAAGAAGUGACUUCCUCUAAGUUCACGUGCACUAGGUGUAAGUUGCCGCCAUGAAUUUGAGAAAGGUUUGUUUUGUUUCCCUUGGAAUCAUCCCAAAUCAGUCAUGCAUACGUGCGAAGUAUUCUAUGGUUUGGUAGAUUGAUUACCUCCACUCCAUAUGUGUUCCUAGCACACCAAGCCACUGAUUGGUUUGUUCAAGGAGAAGAAGUUUCUUCUUAGGAGCUAGACUUACGCAAGGACUUCGAUAUCCUCAUUGAUGGUUCCCUCCUGAACUCGGUAGUGUUUCAUUAUAAGACUACUAUGUGGUCAUACUUGUCUUGGACAACGUAUUCACAUGUAUGUAGCAGAACUAGCUCAUGUCUUGGAGCUUGCUAUCGUAGUUCUCUCCCCGAGAAUCUCGCAACGUCAUCUCGUCGAUUUGUGUUGCCAACUUUCAUUUCUCUUUCUAGACUUGAUGAGUCUGGAAUAUCCUGACACCAACCAGAUCUGAAUCUCAGGCAGAUAUGAUGGUUGGAACAUUCCCAACAUUUGCAUUUUGUUCCCAGCUUGCACCCCAUCGUGCCAAUUUUCCAUGGGAUGCCCUUCUCAGUAGUUGUUGUCCAGGAUCAUCUUCAAAAGUGGUGUUGUCAUGGGUCCCAUCCAUUUCCGAUGAUAAGCAAAAGUCAUCCAUUGUGUUGUCUUCAAAAAGGUAGUCCACACCAUCCAUUCGAAUCCGGAUAUGCCAUUCCUUUGAACUCCGCCAAACGAUCGAUUAUGAUUGCCUUAGGUUGGUAUAAAGAGUUUCAGUGAUCUAGAUAUCAAAAGUAAUUCUUUUUGCCACUUAAGGGAAUAGUUCUUCAAGUCACCUCCCCCAAGGUGCCCCGUUACGGGGUCAUGGCAAUUAUUUCCUCGCCACCUUGACACCAUCCACCAUCUUCCUAAGCGUGGAAUUAUUUCCCACCAAAUCAAACCCCGUCGUUUGUUCUUUCAUCCCUCUCGAUGUGUUUUGUGUCUCAACUCGAGAUGUUUCAACAUCUCAUUCCGCGAGUUGAGAUUGUAUAGUUUGAUCUUUGAGAAGAUCAAUCCUAGUAGAGUUUCUUUCCAUCGUCAUCACGUGGAUGAAGAUCUCAAAAGCGAGGAUGUCAAGAUCAACGUAUGCAACGAAUCAACAACCUUAUGAGGUGCAACUUGGAUCGUGAAGAUUGUGUUGGUCUUGUGCCCCCUCUGUCUUACCUCAUGUCUUGAAUCUCGGGACGAGAUUCUUGUUUAGUAGGGGUGAGUUGUCACAACCCUAGAAUUUGCUUGCCAUUAGUUGCCUUAAAGCAUCCAUGCAUCAUGUUAACUUUUCAAUUAAAGUUGAAAUGGGGAUGUUGAAACCCUAGCACUAAAUGAAUUCAACUAGGUUCAAAUAAACAAUAUUUUCAAUGAACCCAAAAUGCCUUUGGAAAUGUUCAUGAUUUUUUAUAAAGGUGAAAACCUCUGCCAAAAAUGAUAAACAUAUUUCUAGGUCAUUUCUGGAUUUUUGGACCCUGAAAUAUGACCUCGCUCGACUUAUUGACCCCUCUCAUCCUCUGUCCAGGAGUUGCAACUAGUUUCUGGUGUUUGUAGGUUAUGUGUUGGCGGCCGUGCGUAGCACUGACCAUAGGGGUUGGCUAUGAUGCGGUAGAUACACUGUGGCCGGGUAUGCCGGGCGCCCGUUUGGCAUCUGGGGACCCUGUACACAUCGUUUGGGGCCGUUGAGGACACCCCGGCCGGAUUUCCUUGCGGAUGGAACCCGAAUAGGCGAUAAACCUGGACUAGAGACUUGUGCGGUUAGUCAGGUCAUGGUCUACACCCACGUCGGCUUUCGCUUGAAGUCUGCCGAGCACAUGUCAUGUGCAGACGCUAAGUGGUGGAAACAUGUGUGACGAAGUACACCCCUGCAGGGUAUAAAACUAUUCGAAUAGUCGCGUUCACGGUAAAGGACUUCUGGGUUGCCUAUAACAUUUCAUAGACAAGUGAAAGUGGAUACUCUAAUAUGCGCAAGAUAAGCGUGAGUGCUAUGGAUGGCGUUCUCGUAGGGAGACGGGAGCGGAUCCAUAGUGGUGUAUUGAUAUGGUGAAUAUGUAGACUCGUGUGCGCCACCUCAAAAGAGUUACUUGCAGUCGUAGUUUAAGAUAGCCACCGAGUCAAAGCAGGCUUGCUGCAGUUAAACUCCACCACCCCCUUUGUUGAUACCGAUGCAUAUGUAGCUAGUUCUGAUGUAAGUCUUGCUGAGUACUUUUUUAUUCACGUUUGCUUAGUUUAUGUUUUGCAGAGAGACUCCAGUCUCGCUAGUAGUUUCGCGUGGACUUCGACGUUAGCUUGAUACCUCAGCUACGAUCUUGUGCCCUCGGCAGGAUCUGGUAGAUAGUCAGGCUUCUUAGCCUUUUUCAUUUGUAGAUGUCUGUACUCAGACAUGUUAAGCUUCCGCAUGUGUUUUGAUUUGUAUGCUAUGAUUGUUGGGUCAUGAGACCCAUGUUUGUAAUAUCUCGCUCCUCGGAGCCUAACGAAUAAAUACUUGAGUCGUAGAGUUAUGUUGUGAUGCCAUGUUGUAUUUACACAUAUCGAGCAUAUUGUGUGUAUGAUUGAAAUGCUUGGUAUGUGUGGUAUCCGACAAUCUAGUUGUUUAUCCUUGGCAGCCUCUCAUAUGGGGAAAUGUAGUCUAGUGCUGCCAUGAGCCAUAGUAGUCCGCUACAGCCCGGUUCACCGGAGUCCUGUUAGCCCAGCACUACUGCUUAGGACACUUGAUUAGCCGGCAUGUGUUUCACUUCGUUCCUGUGUCUGUCCCUUCGGGGAAAUGUCACGCGGUGACAUCCGGAGUGCUGCUUAGCCUGCUACAGCCUGGGUUCCUGGAGUCCUGUUAGCCCAGUGCUACAGCCCGGAUUCACACGCUGCUGACCGACAUGCUCGAUGUGAUUCAUGUAUGCCUGUCCCCAUAGGUUGGUGCCGGUUUGGGUUCACGACUAGCCAUGUCGGCCCGGGUUCUCUAUCAUAUGGAUGCUAGCGACACUAUCAUAUACGUGAGCCAAAAGGCGCAAAUGGUCCCGGGGCAUGGUAAGGUGACACCCGUGGGAAUACCGUGCGUGAGGCCGCAAAGUGAUAUGAGGUGUUACCGGCUAGAUCGAUGUGACUUGGAAUCGGGGUCCUGACACCUCCAGGUGCUGUUCACGGAUGCGUCCACAAGCGAGCCGGAUUUUCAAGUCCUGCUGUAGAUUCUCUAAAUCUAGUACGCUGAAGCGUGUACAACGAUAUCAUGCUUCAUAUAGUAGUACGAACAAACAGAAGGAUCAAUAUACAAAAACAUAUGCUUGUUCGGGUGAUUUUCUUCCCAUGUCGAACACGAAAGUAGCUAGGGCCUCUUCCGUGCUCCCAGCGCAUGGCCGGUUCAAGGCGAGCUUCUACCUUCUUGUCAAGGACGUCUUGCUCGCACAACCAUGACCAACGUAGCCCUCUUCACCGCCACAGCCUGGUGCGCGCUACCGGUCACAUCCCCGGGAUUAAUGAUUCCGGCUCCAGCGAAGCACACUUCCCCUCAUGUGUGGUUUUCUAAGGCCUAAACAUAAACCUUUUUAUUUUUAAAUUGUGUCAGAUGGGUUUUAAACUCAAGCCCUAUUAAUUGGAUUUGAUACCAUAUAGGACCGCAUGCAUCAGCCACUUCACGCAAAAGUUAAGCUGUUGAGGAAAGGUGAGUUGUGCGUUUAUACUUCAACACUUCGACUCUUCUCCGGUAGUCAUAGUCCUCCCUAGGCUUGGGCAGCUUCUUCCUAUUUCAUUAAGGAUUAAGCCAUGGCUGCUUGCUUGAUUUGUUUUAGAUAAAUAUGGUGAUGACUGAUGUGUAAUUGCAAGUGUCCUUAUUGCACGAGAACUUACUAUUAAUUUAUAGGUAGAAGAGUUCCACGUGUGUGAUUUGGGAAGGGGCCUUGUGUGGACAAAAGAUCAAUGAUUUUGCUAGGCCUUGGUCGAUAAACCUCAAUUGAUUCAAAAAAGGAUAUUUGCUUCGAUCCACAAGGGAGCNNNNNNNNNNNNNNNNNNNNNNNNNNNNNNNNNNNNNNNNNNNNNNNNNNNNNNNNNNNNNNNNNNNNNNNNNNNNNNNNNNNNNNNNNNNNNNNNNNNNNNNNNNNNNNNNNNNNNNNNNNNNNNNNNNNNNNNNNNNNNNNNNNNNNNNNNNNNNNNNNNNNNNNNNNNNNNNNNNNNNNNNNNNNNNNNNNNNNNNNNNNNNNNNNNNNNNNNNNNNNNNNNNNNNGAGAUCUUUCAUUACUUAAGGUGGUGCAUCAUUCUUACAAAGACUAACAACUUCACACUACCGGACUCGCGGCCUAUGCCGACGGCCCAGGGCCAUCGGCAUAGGUCCUUUCCCGUCGACAUAGAUCUAUGCCUACGGCUGCCGUCGGCAUAGCCCCGUCGGCGUAGAUCACGUCAGCGUAGUCUUGUCAAACCGUCGGCAUAGGGGCCUAUGCUGACGGCCGAGCGUCAGCCGUCGGCAUAGUUUAGCCGUCGGUGGUGUUUUUCGCCUGACGGCAACGGACGGUGCCGUCAAAAGCGCUGAGGAUUCACGGAAUGCCACAUGGCAGAUGUAUGCCGACGGCUUUGCCGUCAGCAUAGAUUUUCGUCGUGCCUCCUGGUGGCAGGGCUAUGCCUACGGCAAAUCCGUCGGCAUAUAUUUCAUCUAUGCCGACGGCUUUGCCGUAGGCAUAGACGUGCCACGUGUCAUCCCCUGGUGCCUCCUAGCGGCAGGGCUAUGCCUAUGGCAAAGCUGUCGGUAUAGAUGAAAAUCUAUGCCGACGGCUUUGCCGUAGGCAUAGCCCUGCCACGUGGCAAGCCCCGGGAAGCCCUAGCUCAUCUAUGCCGACGGCUUUGCCGUAGGCAUAGUUUUUUUCCCUGUUUUCUCUUUUUCAAUUCAUUUGAUAGCAUUUCAAAGCAGAAUAAUAUGAGAUUAUGCAGAAAUAUGACAGUUCAUCAUCUAAACAUAAUCAAGUUCAUCAUCAUCAUUUAAACAUAGUCAAGUUCAUCAUCUAAAUACCAUCACCGGUGAAAGUUCAUGAACAUAAAAGUAGUGCAAGACAUGAAACAUUCAUGAACAUAAAAGUAUGUCACGACAGCUUCAUGCACGGGUAUCAUCAUCGACAUCAAGCAAGACCACCUCCGCCAAAACCACCACCGCCAAGACCACCACCGCCAAGACCACCUCCGCCAAAACCACCACCGCCAAAACCACCACCACCAAGACCACCACCGCCAAGACGACGUCCGCCAAAACCGCCACCGCGACCACCAUCACUCUGCCAGAUCGGAGUGAUUGGGGUCAACGGAGCAGGAGUCGAGCCACCGGUCCCCUACAUGUUUGAGAGAAGAUUCUAACGGUAAAUAUGAACGAGAACUAGUUUGUCAGUAGUUAGGCAAAUGUACUAACCGGACUAUCACUGCCUAGUGCCACCCAUUCAUCGAACAUGGGCACGUGUCGGGGUCAACCUCCCCUCCACCACCCUCCUCACCCUCCUCCUCGGCCUCCUCCUGCUCGUCCUCGUCCUCCUCGCCCUCCUCCUCCUCACCCUCCUCCUCCUCGCCAUCAGGAACAUACUCCUCCUCCUCAAACUCAGAAGGUGCCUCAGUAUAGGAGGGCAUCGAAGAAGACCCUCCUAUUUCGGACACGGCCUGGAGUUUUUUGCCAUGGCUGCCUCUCCCCUCACCUCCUCCUCCUCUAGGGGCUCUCCCCCACCCCCUCAUCCUCUAGGGUCUCCUCCCCCGACCCCUCCACCUCCCUAUGAGGUGUCAUCCUCGCGUAGUCGGGAGGGAACCUUGUGGGCUCGUCCACUCCGAGUAAGUCCUUUGAAUUUACUGAGGAAACUGGCGCCGCUGGACUUGCCCAUGAUUAGCAAACCUGCAUUGAGAAGAGGAUAAACAAUUAGUAAGGAUAUCAAAUAAACAAGCAUACAGGAAAAACAUUAAUAACAGAAGAGCACAUUGUACACUUAACAUAGUAAAACUACACAAAUAUCCAUUCAUCUAACAUCUAUCUAUCUCACAUUGUGCACUUAAUUUUUUUUUACAUUUAUACUCUCUUCCAUUUCAUUCAUCUAUCAAAAGUGCAUGUAUAUCAAAAGUGCUCAUGAUGGACCUACCCCCUGUUUUGAUUUAAAGAUGCCUAUAAUAAUCUCUGAAACUACAAUUAAGAUGCCUACGUAUUAACCAAAGAUGCCUACAAACAAAAAUGUCAGAAAUUCUACAAUUGAAAAGAUGCCUACAAUAAUGUCUAAAAGUACAAUUAAGAUGCCUACGUAUCACCCAAAAAUGCCUAAAAAUGUAUGGAAAUCUGCAGUUGAAAAGAUGCCUGCAUAUAUCCAAAAACGCCUACAAUAAUGUCUGGAACUACAAUAGUUCCUUGGAGAUAAACUGAGGCUGCUGAUACGUCCAUUUUGCAUCAUGCUUUUAUAUCAAUAUUUAUCGCAUUAUGGACUGUUAUUUCACUUUAUGUCACAAUACUUAUGGCUAUUCUCUCUUAUUUUACAAGGUUUACAUAAGGAGGGAGAAUGCCGGCAGCUGGAAUUCUGGGCUGGAAAAGGAGCAAAUAUUAGAGACCUAUUUUGCGCAACUCCAAAAGUCCUGAAACUUCACGGAACAUCUUAAAACAAAUAAAGAAAAAUCCUCACCAAAGAUGAAGGCCAGGGGGCCCACACCCUGCUCACGAGGGUGGGGGGCGCCCCCCCCCUAGGGCGCCCCCCUACCUCGUGGGCCCCUGGUGGCUCUCCGACGCCCAUCUUCUCCUAUAUGAAGUCUUUCGAUGAGGAAAAAAUAAGAAGGAACUUUUUGGGAUGAGACUCCGCCACCACGAGGUGGAACUUUGGCGGAUCCAAUCUAGAGCUCCAGCAGAGCUGUUCUGCCGGGGAAACUUCCCUCCGGGAGGGGAAAUCAUCACCAUCGUCAUCACCAACACUCCUCUCAUCGGGAGAGGGCAAUCUCCAUCAACAUCUUCACCAGCACCAUCUCAUCUCCAAACCCUAGUUCAUCUCUUGUAUCCAAUUCUUAUCUCAAAGUCCGGGAUUGGUGCUAGUAGGUUGCUAGUAGUGUUAGUUACUCCUUGUAGUUGAUGCUAGUUGGUUUAUUUGGUGGAAGAUCAUAUGUUCAGAUCCUAUAUGAAUAUUAUUACCCCUCUGAUUAUGAACAUGGAUAUGAUUUGUGAGUAAUUACGUUCGUUCCUGGGGACAAGGGAGAAGUCUUGCUAUUAGUAGUCAUGUGAAUUUGGUAUUCGUUUGAUAUUUUGAUAAGAUGUAUGUUGUCUAGCCUCUAGUGGUGUUAUGUGAACAUCGACUACAUAACACUUCACCAUUAUUUGGGCCUAGAGGAAGGCAUUGGGAAGUAAUAAGUAGAUCAUGGGUUGCUAGAGUGACAGAAGCUUAAACCCUAGUUUAUGCGUUGCUUCGUAAGGGGCUGAUUUGGAUCCAUAUGUUUCAUGCUAUGGUUAGUGUCGGUGUCAAAACCGGCGGAUCUCGGGUAGGAGGUCCCGAACUGUGCGUCUAGGCCGGAUGGUAACAGGAGGCAAGGGACACGAAGUUUUACCCAGGUUCGGGCCCUCUUGAUGGAGGUAAAACCCUACGUCCUGCUUGAUUAAUAUUGAUGAUAUGGGUAGUACAAGAGUAGAUCUACCGCGAGAUCGGAGAGGCUAAACCCUAGAAGCUAGCCUAUGGUAUGAUUGUUCUGUAUGUUGUCCUAUGGACUAAAACCCUCUGGUUUAUAUAGACACCGGAGAGGGUUAGGGUUACACAAAGUCGGUUACAAUGGUAGGGAAUCCACAUAUCCGUAUCGCCAAGCUUGCCUUCCAUGCCAAGGGAAGUCCCUCCCGGACACGGGACGAAGUCUUCAAUCUUGUAUCUUCAUAGCCCAGGAGUCCGGCUGAAGGUAUAGUCCGGCCAUUCAGACACCCCCUAAUCCAGAACUCCCUUAGUAGCCCCCGAACCAGGCUUCAAUGACGAUGAGUCCGGCGCGCAGAUUGUCUUCGGCAUUGCAAGGCGGGUUCUCCUUCAAAUUCCGUGUACCCGUCGAAUAAAGUCCGGUUUCUUGUAAAUGUUGCGCUCCUCGGCUUCUACGCCCAAUAAUGGCCGUCUCCCACGUGUCAAACGGAUAUGAAAAGUCUGAGUGUUUUUACAUCCACACCCCUAGCCGCGUAAAUGAGCCGCCCAUUUAAAGGGAUGAGGAUUUAGAUCCAAACCACACCUUCUCCCCUUCGCGAGUGUUCAGCAGAGCGCAUCCGACAAAGGUCCAGUCUACCAUGGCCAGCCGUCGCAACUCCUCCUUUCACCCUUCCAGCCCUCAGCCUGGAUAUUGGGUGAGAUGCUCCAUCCCGCAUAGCGAUCUAGUAAUGCUCCAGUCCAAGGGAUUUCUCCCCCCGGCCUAUAUGGUCCCGGUCCGAGCCGGUCUUGCCAUCUAUAAUGGCGGAGAGCAAGCGGAGAGUGCCCCUAAUCCCUUCAAAGGAGAGCGAGUAUGCCUUGUCCCUUAUUUAAUAAGAGGGCUCGGAUUUCCGAUCCAUCCGUUUCUUCGGGGGCUCCUGGAGUUCUAUGGCCUCCAGCUACACAAUCUUACACCUGCCUCCGUAUUGCAUAUCGCGGGCUUCGUAGCCCUCUGCGAGCUGUUUUUGGGUGUUGAGGCUCAUUUCGGGCUGUGGAAAGAGCUAUUCUGCCUUGUGCCCCGUUCUCAGAAGGGGUCAAUAUUUCAAGUGGGCGGAGCCGAAGUGUGGCGCAUCGCUGGGACCGGAUAUCUAUCUGGAACCCCAAAGAAGGCGUCCGAGGACUGGCCUUCGGAAUGGUUUUACAUAGAGGACGUCCUGCUGCCGGAUCCUGUCCGGAUCAGCCUCCCUGAGUUCGACAGUGCUCCACUAAAGAAGCGCCUAAGUUGGCGUCCACGGAGCCCUCAGAGGGAAAGUGACAAGGACGUCCGUUACCUGAUGGGCCGGAUAAGAUUUCUAGCUCAUUCCGGACUGACCAUGAUCGGGGUCAUGGCCGCAUGCAUCAUGCGAGGAGGCCACCCCAUGUGGGAUUUCAAUGGGGAGGACGACGCCACCCGCUACGGCCGUAAGGGACCAGAUUCGGCUGCGGCCCUAACAAAGACCUUGUCCGCUUUGUACAAGGGAGAAGAGGAGGAAUUUCUCCGCGUCAACCCACAGGGUGGAUUUUCUAUGUACAAUCCCCCAAGCUGGGUAAGUGGUUUACUUGCCCAUCCGUUUUAUAUUCCCAUUGUUAAAUAUUCAGUCUAACGACUUCAAUGCAUGAACUGCGCCGGGCUAUUAAAGAAAUAAACAGCCCUUCUCCACAACCCGAGGACCUAGGACGGUCCCUCGACCCGGCCUCUCAAGAGGAUCCGGACUUAUCUAUGGAGUUGAUUGAUGGAGUGUUCCAUCAAUUGAGCAAGGACAACGCCUUGGUGGCCAUUACGACCGAUUACCUAGGGCUAAUCCCGGCCUCCCAGGUAACUGAGAUCGAAGUGCCAGCACCCCGAAUAGGGGUCCGCCCUCUCGUGUUUUUAGUUUCCUGAUUACAACCAAGCUUUGUAGGGGAGGUUUUUGAGACGGGAGGCCGAACCUGCAGCGACAAGCCAACAAGGGGCCGCAGGGCCCCGUGGGCAGAAAAGAGGUGCAGUCCGGACCGAGGUGUCAACGCAAAGGUAUGGCGCGCCCCCCUUAUCCCAGGUGUUAUACCUUCAAGGCAUAUUAACGCUCGUGCUCUCUUCAGGACAAAGAGACCUCGCCGGACUAUAUCCGGAGAGGCUGCCAAUCACGCCUCCACCAGCCAGGCUCCAAAGCCUGGUUCGAAGGCGGAGACGAACACGAGGCGCGUACCGGACGCUCCUCCGACGGAGGAUGUGGACAUGUUGUCUGCCACCAAGUCUGAGGUGGAGAGUGCCAUGAACCACAGGCGUCGCCACACAAUUCUUCGCGACGCUUGUUUCUCCCGAGAGGCAUUAGAUGCCUUCAAUUCGGGAGAUGCGUACCUCCGUGCCGCUCAAAAUGGUCUAGCCAGAGCCACGGAGCAAUAUGUAAAAGACAUACGGGAAAGAAAAUUNNNNNNNNNNNNNNNNNNNNNNNNNNNNNNNNNNNNNNNNNNNNNNNNNNNNNNNNNNNNNNNNNNNNNNNNNNNNNNNNNNNNNNNNNNNNNNNNNNNNNNNNNNNNNNNNNNNNNNNNNNNNNNNNNNNNNNNNNNNNNNNNNNNNNNNNNNNNNNNNNNNNNNNNNNNNNNNNNNNNNNNNNNNNNNNNNNNNNNNNNNNNNNNNNNNNNNNNNNNNNNNNNNNNNNNNNNNNNNNNNNNNNNNNNNNNNNNNNNNNNNNNNNNNNNNNNNNNNNNNNNNNNNNNNNNNNNNNNNNNNNNNNNNNNNNNNNNNNNNNNNNNNNNNNNNNNNNNNNNNNNNNNNNNNNNNNNNNNNNNNGUAGCCCCGAGACUUGAAACAGUUAAAAUAACUGAUUUAAGGAUCAUUUGUUAUGCAGGUUCUUACAGAAAAGAAUUCCCUACUGUCCCAGGAGCUGGAAGAGUGCAAAGCCCAACUUGAGGCAGCACUAGCCGCGGCAGGGGAGCCCAAGGAGACCCCCUCUGGUAAUAUACACUUCGAAAGAUAAGUAUUUUGCGAAGCGCGGCAUGGGUGCGAAUCUGAUAAAUGAAAUUGCAGAUGGCGCCGGAUUGAGUCCGGAAAGGCAACGACUCCUACGCCAGCUGAAGGCAGGUGAGAAGGUACUGACAAAGGUGAGGCGGGAGAAGAACGAUCUCCAAGAUGCCAACACCAAGCUGGGCGUCGACCUGAAAGAUGUUCGUGCCCAGCUGUCAGACUCCGUUAAGGAGAAUCAGCGGCUUCGGCGCGACAUAUUUAGUAAGUGCUUGAACGAACCUUUGAAAAAAAAAAUUGGCUGGGAAGUCGACUAACAGAGUAAUGUAUGUAGGUGUGCUAACAGGUCGUCCUGCAGACGAGAUGCCCGGUUCUACGGGUGACCUUCUUCCCGAGCUCUCGCAACUGCUCGAGCGAGUUCGGCAGGCGAUGCAAGGCGUCGCCCAGGCCUUGUGGCCAUCCAUCUCCAUGCCCGAAGGUCUUGGAGAGCUUGCGGAGAAGCUAAAGGGAGCACGGCGGCGCUUCCGAUUAUGGAAGAUGUCGGCCUGCCGUCAAGGCGCUAGGGAGGCCUGGGCCAUGGUGAAGACGCGGUACACAAAGGCUGACCCCAACCACAUGGCCGAGGUCGGUCCUAUGGGGCCCGAUGGGAAGGAGAUCCCUGUAAGCUUAGUAUACGGCCAAGUAGAAUUGGCCACAAAGUAUUCCCAGCAGGACUGUAAAUUAGACAGCCUUUUAGAUGGUAUUGAAGAGGAAUACAAUCAGUCAGGAUGACUAUGUAAUUUAAUUGACAUUUAUAAUGCCUUCUAGCCGGAUUGUAGAUCAUUUGUCAUGGCCGACCUUCUCGCUUCAGCCUCGGGACCUGACAGUCCGGAGAGUGUCCGAAUUCCCAUGUGGUUAUAUAAGAACCGGGGAAUGCAUGGAGACCAGGCGUAGGGGUCAUUAGUGCGUGAACAGACAAGUGCCCGACUAGUUAUGUUAUAUUACAUGGUUAGUAAGAAACAUCUUCCAGGGAGAAUAGUUUCGUUAGGGGUUCCUUUCCCUGGGAGGCAUGCCCUAAAGUGCAUGCCCAUUCUGCGAAAAAGACGUGGAAAAAAGCAUCUGGGGGCGCAUAAAUAAAUAAGUGAAAAAAAAUCAUCUUUUAGGUCACCGACCGAAUAUUCCCUUAAGAACGCUAGCUUUCGGCUUCACCCAGUCUGAGGUACACAUCCGGCUAAUCCGGCAGUAACAAUCACAGAGGUGCUCCCUUUACCGCCUAGCCGAAUAAUCGGGAACGUAGGGGUAAGCACAGGAGCCAGGCAACCCAGCUUGGCCAAAACUUAAGUCAUAUCGAUGCAUAUAAUGGUGAAAUAAAAGGUACAUGCGGAAGUGUAACACAUGUGUUGAGCAUGAAGCCCAUAUAAAUAAGCUUCUGUUAAAAGAAGCCCCCAGGUUUAAUGAGUGCGAAUAGCACGUCAUUUGAUGAGCCUUUAUAGGCUAUAAGAGAAAGGAAGGGGAGAAGGAGAGAAAUGUAAGACAGACAGUAAUAAAAAAGGGACAGAGGAAGGAGACGAACACAGAGUCCGGCGCUAGGCAUAGAAUCUUCGGAGACGGGCUGCGUUCCAUGGGUUCGGCUCGAGUCGGUUAUCCGAUGCAUCUCGCAGGCGGUACGCUCCACCAGUCAGGACUUGGUCAAUUAUGAAGGGACCUUCCCACUUGGGCUUGAGUUUGUCCUUUUUCUUGUCCGGCAGGCAUAGAACUAAUUCGCCAACGUUGUAAUUUUUGGCCUGUACUUCUCUGCUUUGGUAUCUUCGAGCCUGCUGUUGAUAGAAUGCGGAAUGGGCUUUUGCCACAUCACGCUCCUCCUCCAAUGCAUCCAAACUGUCCUGCCGAUCGAGCUCGGCUUCUCUUUCUUCGUACAUGCGCACUCGAGGUGAGUCAUGAAUUAUGUCGCAAGGCAAAACUGCCUCUGCGCCGUACACCAUAAAGAAUGGUGUGUAUCCAGUGGUGCGAUUCGGCGUGGUCCGCAGCCCCCAGAGUACGGAGUUGAGCUCCUCUACCCAGUGCGUGUUAGAUUCCUUGAGGGACCGCACUAAUCUGGGUUUGAUGCCGCUCAUGAUAAGACCAUUUGCAUGUUCGACCUGGCCGUUAGUUUGUGGGUGAUAGACGGAAGCAUAAUCGAGCUUGAUGCCCAUGUUUUUGCACCAGAGUUUUACCUCGUCGGCCGUAAAGUUCGUGCCGUUAUCAGUGAUGAUGCUGUGGGGGACGCCGUAACGGUGUACAACCCCGGAUAUAAAGUCUAUCACCGGUCCGGAUUCGGCCGUCUUAACAGGCUUGACUUCUAUCCAUUUGGUGAACAUAUCCACCAUGACCAAUAAGUAUUUUUGCUUGUGGGUUCCGCCUUUAAGGGGUCCAACCAUGUCAAGCCCCCAGAACACGAAGGGCCAAGUGAUGGGGAUAGUUUGGAGGGCGGUGGGUGGCAUAUGGCUUUGGUUUGCAAAGAGCUGGCAACCGACGCAUCGCUGGACUAAGUCCUGGGCGUCUGCCCGGGCCGUCGGCCAAUAAAAGCCUGUACGGAAGGCCUUGCUUACAAGGGACCGAGCUGUAGCGUGAUGACCGCCGAGUCCGGCAUGAAUUUCAGCCAGGAGGUUCCGCCCUUCCUCUUCGGAGAUGCACCUUUGAAGGACUCCGGUAGUGCUUUUCUUAUAAAGCUCUCCCUCGUGGACUUUGUAGGCUUUGGAUCGCCGCACUAUGCAGCGUGCCUCAUUUUGGUCCUCGGGGAGUUCCUGCCUAGUAAGGUAGGCAAGGAAUGGUUUUGUCCACGGGGCGAUGACGGCCAUUAUUACGUGGGCUGCAGGUGUUAUUUCAUUGGCAGAGCCUCCGAUUGUGUCAGAAUGUUCGGUGUCGGGCAGUGCGGUUGGGUCCGGGCUGUUAUUGUUCGGCUCCCCUUCCCAUACUACGGAUGGCUUGAACAACCUUUCCAAGAAGAUGUUGGGGGGGACUACAUCACGUUUUGCGCCGAUGCGUGCCAGGACAUCUGCCGCCUGAUUAUUUUCCCAGGCUAUAUGGUGAAAUUCAAGCCCUUCGAACCGAGCUGACAUUUUUAGGACGGCGUUGUGGUAAGCUGCCAUUUUUGGAUCCUUGGCAUCGAAGUCUCCAUUUAUUUAGGAUAUUGCGAGGUUCGAGUCCCCGCGCACCUCUAGGCGUUGAAUUCCCAUGGAUACUGCCAUCCGGAGACCAUGUAAAAGGGCCUCAUAUUCGGCUGCAUUGUUGGAGUCUGUGUACAUAAUCUGGAGUACGUAUUAGACUGUGUCUCCUGUGGGGGACGUCAAAACGACGCCAGCCCCUAGUACGGCCAACAUCUUGAAGUCGUCGAAAUGCAUGAUCCAAUUUGAAUAUGUGCCAUACUCUUUAGGGAGUUCGGCCUCCGUCCAUUCUGCGACGAAGUCGGCCAAAACUUGCGACUUGAUGGCUCGCCGUGGCUUAUAAGUUAUGUCGAACGGGAGGAGCUCAAUGGCCCAUUUUGCAAUCCGGCCCGUUGCGUCACGGUUGUCUAUAAUAUCAUUAAGUGGUACUUCCGAGGCUACUGUUAUUGAACACUCUUGAAAGUAGUGUCGUAACUUCCGGGAUGCCAUGAAUACCACGUAAGAAAUCUUUUGAUAAUGCGGGUACCGUGAUUUGCACGGAGUGAGGACAGUGGACACAUAAUAGACUGGCUUUUGAAGGGGGGAUUUGUGUCCGUCCGUUUCUCGUUCGACGACGAGCAUUGCGCUUACAACCUGAUGUGUUGCUGCAAUGUACAAUAGCAUUGGUUCACCAAUGUUUGGCGCGGCCAGGACUGGGUUUGUUGCCAAUAUGGCUUUUAUUUCGUCGAGUCCGGUCGUGGCUGCAUCCGUCCAUUCGAAGUGUUUGGUGCGCCGAAGGAGGCGGUAAAGGGGUUGGGCCUUUUCUCCCAAGCGGGAGAUAAAGCGGCUUAGAGCCGCCACGCAUCCGGUUAACUUUUGUAUUUGUUUGAGGUCCUUUGGGAUAUCCAAUUGUGACAGAGCUCGGAUCUUGGCUGGAUUUGCUUCAAUUCCUCUACCGGAUACAAUGAAGCCCAAGAGCUUUCCGGCUGGGACGCCGAAAACGCAUUUUUCCGGGUUGAGCUUGAUGUCGUAUGUUCGGAGGUUAUCAAAUGUGAGCCUCAAGUCGUCUACUAGAGAUUCGACAUGUCUUGUUUUGACGACCACCUCAUCUACAUAUGCCUCCACUGUUUUGCCGAUCUGGUUUGCCAGACAUGUCUGAAUCAUGCGCUGAUAUGUUGCGUCGGCGUUUUUGAGCCCGAAGGGCAUUGUGUUGAAGCAGAAUGGGUCGUAUGGUGUGAUAAAUGCCGUUGCGGCUUGGUCUGAUUCUGCCAUCUUGAUUUGAUGGUAGCCGGAAUAUGCGUCGAGGAAACACAACGAAUCGUGUCCUGCGGUAGCAUCGAUAAUUUGAUCGAUGCGGGGGAGGGGGAAGGGAUCCUUUGGGCAAGCCUUGUUAAGGUCUUUAAAAUCAACGCACAGGCACCAUGAUUUGUCCUUCUUUGGUACCAUUACCAGGUUUCCUAGCCAGUCCGGAUGUUUUAUAUCUCUGAUGAAUCCGGCCUCCAAUAGCUUUGCUAGCUCCUCUCUCAUGGCCUGUCUCUUAGGUUCGGAAAAACACCGAAGAGCUUGUUUGACAGGUUUGAAUCCUUUUAGGAUAUUUAAGUUGUGCUCGGCCAGCCUGCGUGGGAUUCCUGGCAUGUCUGAAGGGUGCCAGGCGAAAAUGUCCCAGUUCUCUCGUAGGAACCCUCGCAGUGCGGCGUCUAUAUCGGGGUUUAACUGCGCCCCGAUGGAAGCUGUUUUAUUGGGGUCCAUUGGAUGGACCUGGAAUUUGAUUAUUUCGUUUGCCGGUUUAAAGGAGGUGGACUUGGAUCUUUUGUCGAGUACCACAUCGUCCCUAUUCACCAUGGAGCGCAGCGCAGUCAGUUCCUCAGCCGCUAGGGCUUCGGAUAGUGCCUCGACGGCCAGUGCGGCUGUCUUGUUUUCGGCGCGGAGUGCUAUGUCCGGAUCACUAGCGAGAAUGAUGACCCCGUUAGGCCCGGGCAUCUUGAGCUUCAUGUACCCGUAAUGGGGUAUUGCUUGGAAGAUUGUAAAUGCUUCCCGCCCUAGCAGAGCGUGAUAACCGCUGCUGAACGGAACCACAUGGAACAUGACCUCUUUCGACCUGUAAUUAUCCGGCGUGCCGAACACCACAUCUAGUGUGAUUUUUCCUGUACAGCGCGCUUCCCAACUGGGGAUUAUUCCUCUAAAGGUUGUGCUGCUUCGCUCAAUGCGGUUCCAGUCUAUUUCCAUUUUUUGAAGGGUUUCCUCAUAAAUGAGGUUCAAUCCGCUGCCGUCGUCCAUGAGUACCUUGGUAAGACGAAAGUCAUCCACUAUUGGACUGAGGACCAAUGCGGCUGGUGCUCGGGCUGUUCGGAAUUUAGGUUCAUCACUGGCGUUAAAGGUAAUAGCCGUGUCACUCCAUGGGUUUAUUGUUGCUACUUGGUAGACUUCAGCAAGGCUGCGGAGUGUCCUUUUUCGCAUAUUAUUUGAUGCGAAAGUCUCGAAGACUGUUAAUACCGUAUUGGUGUCUCUGGGGUGGCUUUCUGUGGCCUCCGGAAUUAGGAGAUCUUCGCCAAUUUUGGCCACCUGCCGGAGUAUCCAACAUGCUCUAAGGCUGUGAGUUGGUGUGGCGUCCUCUGUACUGUGAAUUUUACAGGGUCCAUUAAGCCAUCCUUCCAGUACGGUUCCAUGCCAUGUAGAGGGUUUUUGCUUUUUGGUGUUUGACCCGGGUGUCUGGCGAUGAUGCACCCUUUUAUUUCGGACUAGGUUUGUAUUCAGGGCCGGAUCGUCCCAAAAUUUUAUUUCGGUUUUCCAGGCGCUUUCCAUUGCACAGUACUUUCGUACAAUGGAUGCUAAGUCAGCAAAGCGUGUAAUAUCACGGCGACUUAUGACGUUGAGGAUUCCCUUGUCCGUGCAAUUAUUGCAAAAGAUUGAGAUUGCAUCUUCCUGCGGCAAUCCCUUAUCCUGUUCCUAACCAGGAGGAAUCUGGCCCAGUAAUGAUGUACUGUUUCAUCGGGCUCUUGCCUGAUUUGGGAUAGAUUGCUUAUGUUCGGGUGGGUGGGUGGAAUUAAAUCCGAAGCCUCACCCAAUCUGAGGCUCAAAGGCCGAGGAAUUUCCGAACUCGAAAAUUUGGAUUCUUGGAUGUUGUCCAAUGAAUCCAGCCCGUCGCCUGACUCUAAGUUCAGGUCUUGAGUGAUAUCCUCCCCUCCGUGGGUAUCCGGCUUGGAGGGAUCGGGAAUCCGGACGUAGCUAGUCCUUAAGAUAGAUGAAGGGUCGCCGCACUGUCCCUCUACCACGGCAACAUGAUGGGUGACUUGGGGAGAGUUAAUCUCUCUCAGAUCGGGUUUAGGCCCAAUCUGGUCGUAAUCCGUAGCGACUCCCAGGGCGGCGAUGCGAUCCAAGAGCUCGUUUAUGGAGGAGAGCUCCAUUGGAUCUAACUGCUCGGCGAGUUCCGAGCUGACAUGAAGAUUGUCUUCGAUGGCUCGAGAGGUCAUCGUCGGCGCAGAAGCCGAACAGGAGGUCAUAAGAAAACCACCUAGCUGGAGGGUUUGGCCGACAGCCAAAGCUCCCUUAGCAACGGUGCCGUCUUUAAAGACGGGGCGAGGCAUCCUUCCUGAUGGCGACGACACAGAGGAACUCUUAAUGAAAGCACCAAUGUCGCUGUCAAAAUCGGCGGAUCUCAGGUAGGGGGUCCCGAACUGUGCGUCUAGGCCGGAUGGUAACAGGAGGCAAGGGACACGAAGUUUUACCCAGGUUCGGGCCCUCUUGAUGGAGGUAAAACCCUAUGUCCUGCUUGAUUAAUAUUGAUGAUAUGGGUAGUACAAGAGUAGAUCUACCACAAGAUCGGAGAGGCUAAACCCUAGAAGCUAGCCUAUGGUAUGAUUGUUCUGUAUGUUGUCCUACGGACUACAACCCUCCGGUUUAUAUAGACACCGGAGAGGGUUAGGGUUACACAAAGUCGGUUACAAUGGUAGGAAAUCUACAUAUCCGUAUCGCCAAGCUUGCCUUCCACGCCAAGGAAAGUCCCUCCCGGACACGGGACGAAGUCUUCAAUCUUGUAUCUUCAUAGCCCAGGAGUCCGGCUGAAGGUAUAGUCCGGCCAUCGGGACACCCCCUAAUCCAGGACUCCCUCAGUUAGGUUUACCUUAAUACUUUUGUUGUAGUUGCGGAUGCUUGCAAUAGAGGUUAAUCAUAAGUGGGAUGUUUGUUCAAGUAAGAACAACACCUAAGCACCGGUCCACCCACAUAUCAAAUUAUCAAAGUAUUGAACGCGAAUCAUAUGAAUGUGAUGAAAACUAGCUUGACGAUAUUCCCAUGUUUUCUUAGGAGCGUUUUUCCUAUUAUAAGAGUUUGUUCCGGCUUGUCCUUUGCUACAAAAGGAUUGGGCCACCUUGCUGCACUUUAUUUACUUUUGUUACUUGUUGCUCGUUAUAAUCUAUUUAUCACAAAACUAUGUGUUACCACUUAUUUCGGUACUUGCAGAGAAUACCUUGCUGAAAACCGCUUAUCAUUUCUUCUGCUCCUCGUUGGGUUCGACACUCUUACUUAUCGAAAGGACUACGAUAGAUCCCCUAUACUUGUGGGUCAUCAGCUGCUAGGUAUGAAAAGGCCAGCCCUACACUUACACAUGCUCAUUUACUCUCAGAGAGAAGUGGCUAUGCUCAAGUACUGCACUUUGCUAAAUCUGCACAUCUACUGAAUUAAAAAAUAGAUUAAAAAUAGAAAAACCAGAGCAACCCUACUAUUGCAUGAUUUCAUCUAAGAAACCUUCGCUAAAUCUGUAUGACAACAGAUAUCUGAAGCAAAAAGGUAGGGACAAAUCCCGGCAGAGAUAAUAGAGCAAACUUUUGACUGAACUUAACUGACUUUUUAGCAGCACUAAGAAUAGCAUGAGGGGAUUUGCAGAAAAAUACAGACUUGUACUACCACAUAUUGUAGAGAUAUCAUUUGUAACUCCCGCUUAUAGUAACAGAUCAAAAAGCUAGAAGAACACAUCGUAUUGCCUGGAAAAACAUAUUCUAUUGCCUAGAAGAUGGCAGGUGCUCUCUUUGUUUUUCUUCAGUUGAUAUAAAAUGUAGGCAAGCACAACGGACAUAAUUAGGAAAAAUAGAAAAACAUGCACCCCACACUUGACCUAAUUUCAUACACAGCCUGAUUUGUAUCUGCUAUUGUUGUUUGCCAGCAUGAAACACACUCUAAAAACAGCCUAUAAAUCCACUAUUAUUGCCUAGUUUUAAAUCUUCUAUUGCCUAAAAGUAAAAACAUUGCAUACUAUUGCCUACAUCCCUGGGAUCUGAUGGGAUGGCGACAUGAAUUGUUGCCUACCACCCCAAAAUCCAAGCAACUAUGAGCUGCUGCACUUCCUCCCUCUCAAUGAUUGUGUGCUGCUGCACCUCUAAUCCGUCCCUAAUCCAAAAUGGUGGGGUGAGGAUUUGUGCGUGGGAGACAUAUCUAAGACCUCUAGCUGUUGAUUGUCUGUCGGAAUUUGAGUUUUGCUCUAAAAAUUUCUCGAUUUCAGCAACCCUCGCCCCUCUGUAUUUCCAGAUAUCUGAGAAUUGGGCCUAAAUGAGUGCCCAUUCGACAAUAUUGCCUGCUAAACGCAUAUUGACUGCACAAAAACAAGACCUAAUUAUGUUGCCUACUGAAAAAACAAGUGGUGGGUUCUAGUUAUAUGAUCACAGAUAUUACAUCAUUUUGCUUACUGAAGGCGCAUAUAUAUAUGCUGAACAAAAAACUACUAUGAAUUCAGAUAGGUUACAGUAUUGCCUGCUGAAAACGCAGAUAUUGACAUGCUAAGAUAAAAGCUAUAUGAACACAUAUAUCACACAGAAUUUGCCUACUGGACACACAUAUGAUGAAAAUAUAAUGCAGUAUUUUUGCCUCUUAUCUCUCUGUGUGUUGCCUACCAAAAAAAGACUCCUCUGUAAAUUGUUACCUACAACCUGAAACAUUUAUAGUGUGUAUUCCCGAAGCUCAUGCAUCCACCAAACCCAUCGUGAAACUCUAAUCCUUCUCUCCCUUGACUAGCAAAUCUCAAACCCAUGCUCCAGUAGAGAUUUUUCCCCGUGGAUGCAAAAUUGGUGCACGCAGACAGCAACUCGAUGGCUAAAGCGCUAGAAAACUCACCUCUGUUCGCGCACUUAGCAGAGAGCCUCGUCCCCCAUCGGCCGCCGCCACGCCCAACUCCCUCUUCUCCCUGGUUGCGCGCGCGAGCAACUCACCACACCCACCCCCCUACUAGAGCCGUGGGCCGGCCGGGGCGGCGUCCACGCAGGGCGGGCCGGGGUCAAGGAGGGAGGGGCGGGGACGGCUGGAGCGAGGGAGGGGCGGGGGCUGCUGGAGCGAGGGCGGCGCCGGCUAGAGCGAGGGCGGCGAGUGGGCAGCGGCAGGGGGCGGGGUCAAGUGCGGCGGCGGCGACAAGGGGCGGGGAGUCGGCGGGAAGGCAAGCAGUUCGCGGGGUCGCGGCGGGGAGCUGGGAGAGAAUGAGUGGAGCAGACGCUGCGCGAGGGGAUAAGGCAGUCUAUGCCGACGGCUGCCAUCGGCAUAGACGCCACGUCACCGAUCCGCGUGACACGUCCCCUAUGGCCGCAGCUAUGCCGACGGCUUUGCCGUCGGCAUAGUUAUAUUUUUCGUUUUUUAAUGUUUUUAAUAGUUUAUAUUUUUCCUUCUUUAUGUUUUUUUAUGUCGUAUAGAUUUUUUAAUGUUUUUUAUAGUUAUAUUUUUCCUUUUUUAUGUUUUUUAUGUAUUAUUAUUUCAUAUAGAUUUUUAAUGAUUUUUAACCGCUCGGCCCUCUCCUCUCCCAGAACCACACAGAGGGGAGGGGAGGGGAGGCGCCGAACUCGAGCAGCUUCGUCCGCCGAGGCCGUGGCCUGGUCGCGGGUCUGGGAGCGCAUGGUCGCCGCCUCGCAUUCUCGAUCUGGAGCUUAGUAGGUCAGCUGAGUGAAGGGGGGUCAUCGACGGUGGGGGUGGGGGUGGGGGCGGCGGCGGAUUCAAGUCCGUUGGAGGGAGAUGGUUCGCGCGGGGACACCUGGGAGCAACAUCCGGGCCAAACCCACAGCUACAUCACCUCCGUGUAGACCCGACGUGUCCGUUUCCCCCCUCCACAUGCCGGCGGCGGCGCCGUCCGUGAGGGGGGCCACACCCCGAAGACGCGUGCCGCCUCUUCGGACAUGCCACAACACCACCCCGCAUGUAUGAGGGGCCGGUGCGACGCUCUGGUGGCAUUGCUACCCCCCCAGGCCCCCCGUCCCGCCUAACCCUAGAGCGGUUGACCACGAGAUCUAGCCCUUUGACUUCCCACGAGCAGGCUUUGACCAGUGGACCUCUCCACUUGGUUGUGUGAGGUCGGCACAGAGGGACACCUGGGAGCAACAUCUAGGCCAAACCCACAGCUACAUCCCCUCCGUGUAGACCCGACACGUAUGUUUCCCCCCUCCAGGUGCCGGCGGCGGCGCCAUCCGUGAGAUGGGAGGCCACGCCCCGGAGACNNNNNNNNNNNNNNNNNNNNNNNNNNNNNNNNNNNNNNNNNNNNNNNNNNNNNNNNNNNNNNNNNNNNNCAUGCCACACCACCACCCCGCAUGUAUGAGGGGCCGGUGUGACGCUUCGGUGGCAUUGCUACCCCCUAGGGCCCCCGUCCCGCCUAACCCUGGAGCGGUUGACCACGAGAUCUAGCCCUUUGACUUCCCACGGGAGGGCUUUGACCAAUGGACCUCUCCACCCGGUUGUGUCAGGUCAGCAUAGAGGGACACCUGGGAGCAACAUCCGGGCCAAACCCACAGCUACAUCCCCUCCGUGUAGAUCCGACAUGUCCAUUUCCCCCCUCCAGGUGCCGGUGGCGGCGCCAUCCGUGAGCUGGGAGGCCACGCCCCGGAGACGCGUGUCGGGCGUUUGCAACCGCCACAACACCUUCAGACUUGUGAGAAGCCGUGUACGCAAGAUUGGCAGCAUGCUAGCCCACGGAGGCCGCCGGCCACAGUCGUAGACAUGCGAAGGGCAAUCCGCGUAGAGGGAAGUGUUCGGAUACCUCUUCAUCACCAAAAAUUAUGAAAAAUUACCAUCGUUCAUAUAGCACAUGUGCCCACAUCGUGUAAAAAAGUCAGGAUUUUAUCGCGAUCCGAGUAUUUAAUAAUAUUCACACCGCACCGUUACCGCAGAACGUCUACUACUGUGUCAUCACCGUCCGUGAGGGGGGUCACACCCCAGAGACGCGUGCCGCCUCUUCGGACAUGCCACAACACCACCCUGCAUGUAUGUGGGGCCGGUGCGACGCUCCGGUGGCAUUGCAACCCACCAGGGCCCCCGUCCCGCCUAACCCUGGAGCGGUUGACCACGAGAUCUAGCCCUUUGACUUCCCACGGGCGGGCUUUGACCAGUGGACCUCUCCACCCGGUUGUGUCAGGUCAGUACAGAGGGACACCUGAGAGCAACAUCCGGGCCAAACCCACAGCUACAUCCCCUCCGUGUAGACCCGNNNNNNNNNNNNNNNNNNNNNNNNNNNNNNNNNNNNNNNNNNNNNNNNNNNNNNNNNNNNNNNNNNNNNNNNNNNNNNNNNNNNNNNNNNNNNNNNNNNNNNNNNNNNNNNNNNNNNNNNNNNNNNNNNNNNNNNNNNNNNNCAUGCCACAACACCACCCCGCAUGUAUGAGGGGACGGUGCGACGCUCCGGUGGCAUUGCUACCCCCAGGGCCCCCGUCCCGCCUAACCCUGGAGCGGUUGACCACGAGAUCUAGCCCUUUGACUUCCCACGGGCGGGCUUUGACCAAUGGACCUCUCCACCCGGUUGUGUCAGGUCAGCACAGAGGGACAUCUAGGAGCAACAUCCGGGCCAAACCAUAGCUACAUCCCCUCCAUGUAGACCCGACACCUCCGUUUCCCCCCGCCAGGUGUCGGUGGCGGCGCCGUCCGUGAGCUGGGAAGCCACGCCCCGGAGACGCGUGCCAGGCAUUUGCAACUGCCACAACACCUUCAGACUUGUGAGAAGCCGUGUACGCAAGAUUGGCGGCAUGCUAGCCCACGGAGGCCGCCGGCCAUAGUCGUAGACAUGCGAAGGGCAAUCCGCGUAGAGGAAAGUGUUCCGAUACCUCUCCAACACCAAAAAUUAUGAAAAAUUACCAUCGUUCCUAUAGCACAUGUGCCCACGUCGUGUAAAAAACUCAUGAUUUUAUCGCGAUCCGAGUAUUUAAUAAUAUUCACGCCACACCGUUACCGCAAAACGUCUACUACUGUGUCAUCACCGUCCGUGAGGGGGGCCACACCCCGGAGACGCGUGCCGCCUCUUCAGACAUGCCACAACACCACCCCGCAUGUAUGAGGGGCCGGUGUGACGCUCCGGUGGCAUUGCUACCCCCCUCCCUCAGGGCCCCCGUCCCGCCUAACCGUGGAGCGGUUGACCACGAGAUCUAGCCCUUUGACUUCCCACGGGCGGGCUUUGACCAGUGGACUUCUUCACCCGGUUGUGUCAGGUCAGCACGGAGGGACACCUGGGAGCAACAUCCGGGCCAAACCCACAGCUACAUCCCCUCCGUGUAGACCCGACGCGUCUGUUUCCCCCCUCCAUGUGCCGGNNNNNNNNNNNNNNNNNNNNNNNNNNNNNNNNNNNNNNNNNNNNNNNNNNNNNNNNNNNNNNNNNNNNNNNNNNNNNNNNNNNNNNNNNNNNNNNNNNNNNNNNNNNNNNNNNNNNNNNNNNNNNNNNNNNNNNNNNNNNNNNNNNNNNNNNNNNNNNNNNNNNNNNNNNNNNNNNNNNNNNNNNNNNNNNNNNNNNNNNNNNNNNNNNNNNNNNNNNNNNNNNNNNNNNNNNNNNNNNNNNNNNNNNNNNNNNNNNNNNNNNNNNCCGGAGAUGUGUGUCGCCUCUCCGGACAUGCCACAACACCACCCCGCAUGUAUGAGGGGCCGGUGCGACGCUCCGGUGGCAUUGCUAACCCCCCCAGGGCCCCCGUCCCGCCUAACCUUGGAGCGGUUGACCACGAGAUCUUGCCCUUUGACUUUCCACGGAUGGGCUUUGAACAGUGGACCUCUCCACCCGGUUGUGUCAGGUCAGCCCUGAGGGACACCUGGGAGCAACAUCCGGGCCAAACCGACAGCUACAUUCCCUCCGUGUAGACCCGAUGCGUCCGUUUCCCCCCUCCAGGUGCCGGCGACGGCACCGUCUGUUAGGGGGGCACGCCCCGGAGAUGCGUGCCGCCUCUUCGGACAUGCCACAACACCACCCGGUUGUGGUAGGUCAUCUCAUAGAAACACUUGGGAGCAACGUCCCCUUCGUAUAGACCCGAUGCGGCUGUUUCCGCCCUCCAGAUGCCGGCGGCGGCGCCGUCCGUGAGGGGGGCACACCGCGGACGUGAGGGGGUCACACUCCGGGGACGGGUGUCGGGCGUUUGCAACCGCCACAAAACUUCUGUCGGCAUAGUUGUUGUUUAUUUUAAUAAAAUAUAAGGACCUAUAUUCAAAAGAACAAGACGGCACAUUAUUAAUGUGCUUGAAAAAAAAUACAAACUAUAUAUAUAUAUAUAUAUAUAUAUAUUCAUAAUCUAUGGAAAAAAUUACAAACUACAUAUAUUUUCAUAUAAUACAUAAAAAGCAUAAAAACAUAUGUAAAAAAUGCAUAAAAGCAUAUGUAAAAAAAGCAUAAAAACAUAUGCAAAAAAACAGAUGUAAAAAAUUUAAUUAUGCCCGCCGUCGGCAUAGCGACGGCAGGGUUUAGGUGGGCGCCGUGCCGCACAUCGUUGACGUGGCGCCUAUGUCGUCGGCAUAUCUACGGCGCGGAUCGGUGACAUGGCGUGCGGAGAUAUGUCGACGGCCGCCCGUCCCGACCGUCGGCAUAGGUUUGACGGUGUUAGCCGCUGGUCACGGGCGGGGUCGCCGGGCCCACAGGUAUGCCGACGGCUGGCUUAUGCCGACGGCUGCUGUCGGCGUGUCUGCAUCUAGGUCGACGACCGUUCUGUGCCGACGGCUGCCGUUGGCGUAGAUCGGGGUAGCCCGACGGCCAGGAUAAGCCGACGGCCAGGAGUAGGCUGUUGGCAUAGCUCCAAGUAGGCCGACGGCAGCCGUCGGCAUAGUUUUGGCUGUCGGCGUAGGACCAUUUUCCGGUAGUGUCAUCAGUGCCUCCUCCUAACCACACCGCAGUGCGAGGAGUGCACCAUCCAUAGGUAGCGAGAUAGUGACUAACUUUAUUCUAAGAACGACUAAUCUUAGUAACGAAGAUCUCCCUAUCAUCUUUCAUCAUCUCCUGGAUCUCUCUGACUAGCACCAUAUGCCUCGAAUGAUCCGGUACUGUAGCUUGCAGCAUCGUCACCGCCUCGGCGCUAUCAAGUUCCAACUGUAUGGGACAGUUGGUGCGGUGUAGGGCAAUAGCUAGGCCGUCCUUGCACGCCCCCAACUCGGCUACAAGAGCGUCAUCGCAUGCAAAUAACUGCCUGCAAGCCGAGUAUAUAGGCCCUGUUUGGUUCAUAAGUCUUAGGACUUUUUUUAGUCUCAACUUAUAAGUCACAAGUCCCUAAAAAGUCCCUACCUGUUUGGUUCCUGGGACCUAUAAAUCUCUAUAAGACCAUAUUAUAACUAUAAGUCCCUAUAAGUCCCUCCUUGAGAGUCUUAUUUCAUAAGUCCCAAAUGUCCACUUUAAGUCCCUAUAAGUCCCUCAUGUUUGGUUUAGAUGAGACUUAUAGGGACUUAUUUAAGUCCCUAGACCAAUAAAUCCCUGGAAACAAACACCCUCAUAAUCUGACCUUGUGCGUCCCGCAGUACCAUGCCACAGCCGCCGGUGUUGUUGCUUGCCACAUAACUACCAUCAGUAUUGAGCUUGGCCCAGCCAACAACCGGCUUGCUCCACUUGAGCUCCAUGCAUGCGUUCCCGGCCGGCCGCUGAUCAGGAGCUGGACGUACACGGUCAGGAUCAGUGGUGGAGACAGGCCUGGGGCAGCUAGGGCUAUAGCCCAGGCCUAGAAACAACUUCCUUUGUAAUUUCUUCAUGCAAAGCAUAGAAAAUUAUAGAAGUUUAUCACUCAACAUAGCACAGCCCCAGGCGUAGUCUGCAUCCAGCUCCGCCACUGGUCAGGAUACAAUACCAUUUUUCCUUUAGCUUGGUCAUGAUGUGGAAAUUGUUGUUGGCACAACAAUGAGUUUAUGUAACUCUGAAGAAAUCUACGGGAAGCUUCAGUAGGCGGUGGCAGUUUGUCAUGGGUGAUUUUGUUUCGGACGUGCCACGUACGCCAGAAGACCAUCAACAGAACCAUGCGACUGAGCUCCUGCAGCUGAUCAAGCACCCCAAGGAGCCAUCCCGGCCCUGUGUUGCACACUUCGUCCACGUCCGGGAUUGGCCAGUCCUGCGCCACGGCUCUCCAUAAAUCCUUGGCAUGUAGGCGUCUGCACAUCGUGUGGAAACCGUCCUCGUGUUCCACACCACAAAGGGGACAAACAUCAUUAGUUUCUAAAUUGCGGGAAAAUUUGUUCGUCCAAGUAGCAAGAGAAUUUGUCGCCAUGCAUGCCCAUAUCAUUUGCUUUGCCCAUAUCAUUUGCUUUGCUUAAUCUUUCUUAGUUUAGCUUUAAACACUACAACUUCUUGUGUGAUGACACAACUAAGAUCCAAUCCUUACUCUAACCAAUGUCCAGUUAAGCACUAACUUACUGUAACCAAUGGCAGACAUGAACACAAACUUAUUGUAACUAGAAAAUCAUCCCUACUCCUAUAAAAAAGCCAAUUGGUGGUGAUGGUAUGUCUGCCUUAGGGCCAUCUACACCGUCCGAUGUGGAAUCUAAGGAUGAGAAUGACCCGAGGCACCAGUUUUGCAAAAACACCCUGAGCAUCUGACAGAAUUUUGCAGAAGGCAUCCGAAAGACAACACGAAUAUUCUGGAGGUUUCUACUUAUCUCCCCAAACAAACGUGUCUUCAAGAAGGAGCUAAAAAAACGUUUUCGAGGACCCCCUCCCCAAUUCCUCGUCGCAGGUCCCUCGACUCUCUGCCCCGGCGAAAGCCCAAGUUUAGUUGGGCGAGAGCUUCGCCUCUUGUACAGUCGUAGACCGUAGUUGUAGUCAGGGUUUCGAUAAAUCGGAUCUGGCUUUGAGCUUUGCCCAAUGUCUCUCCUUCUAGAUCUUGCCGUGCAAGCUGUCGGAGUAGGAGAAAUGACAGAUCCCACCGGGCCGCCGCUGCCAAGGUCAAUGAGCCGCGGGCGCUCCAGGUCACUCUCUGUUAGCGCAGCUUGCCCAAUGACUGUGCCGAUGUGUACGCCAACAUCCACCUUCCGCCGGCUGCGUCCCUUGUGCACUCACGGACAGUAGCGGGGGUCCUCUGUAGAUGAAGACUACACUGUUUAUUCCAAUGACCACUACAAGCUCUGAACUGUAUAUGUUACCUUGACUAGGCCGCAUGCCCCAAUUUUUGGCUUCCAGGGAUACGCACUGUCGUGUUGGUCGCAGCGCAAUCACGCUGGCACAACACCCUCCGGUGUAGCUGAGUCUUCGUCAACGAUAAUUGCCCUCUUAAUUUUCAAGCUUCUAGGCUAUACUGUAGUAGGCCAAAAAAAUAUACUGUAAUCGGUCAAAAACAGUCUAUGUGUGUCAGUGUGAAAUGUUACUUUUUCUCUCUCUCAUUGUAAUGUUACUCUCUAUAUUGUUACUCUCCCUCUCUGUAAUGACCACCGAUAUGACUUAUAUUUAAAGCAUGUGACCCCUUGAUUUGCAUCAUGAAUCCCUUUUUUUAACAAUAUAUGUGGGUCAGUGUGAUGAAUUUAAAGGCAUAUAUUAGACACGAUAGAUGAUGAGCCGUCAAAAUAUGUAUGUUCCGUUGCAACACAUGAGCAAUUAACUAGUACUUUCAAAGAUCUGACAGAAACACCAGCUUCUUGUGUGAACGCCAAGCAACUGUACCCACAAACUUCAGUGGUUACCACUAACUUGACAUGAACACGAACUUCAGAGUUACCGCUAACUUCAGACUUGACGGUAAAGAUCAAAAUUCCAGACUUACAGUAAAAAAUUCAGACUUGCAGAGCACUUGGGAAUGAGGCCGAUAAGCAUGAGGAGGAUUUGGAGGAGGAGCCGACAUCGUCGGGGUCGACUUCCGCAGCAGCCGUCGUGGGUUUGGUCAGAGAAAGUUGGAGGGUUUUUUUCUGUAAGAAUGCUGUCGCGACAUUCUUUUUCGGACGGAGGGAGUAUAUAUGUAUGGUUCCUGUUGCAAAGAGCAUGAUAUCGUACUUAAUUUGUGGCGUAUAGUUAAGGAAUUUUAUCGUAUUUAUAUGAAGGAAAGAUGUUGCAUAUUGCAUUGUUUGUUAUCUCCCUUUCUCUCACUCUCAGAAAAUCCAUAUACAUGUCACACUCCGCAAACAUACUACGUAUAUACUGCAUUGAGCAGAAGCAGGGUUCAGUACAGCACUACAUUAAGCCAGAUUGAGCAGAAUCAUAUACGGACUUCUGCAUUUAUUGGCAUGAGUAGCGAUCGGGUGUUUUUGUUGCUGGAUUUGGCCACUGAUCUCGCCGGCAGAUCACGCUACAGAGCAGAGCCGGCGAGCUCCCUAGUCAAUCCGCCUUGAGGGUGUUGCCGACGUCGAUGACGAAGCGGUACCUGACGUCGCCCUUGGCCAGGCGCUCCAUGGCCGCGUUCACCUCCCCGGCGCCGAUCACCUCGACGUCCGCCGCCACGCCAUGCUCGGCGGCGAAGUCUAGCAUCUCCUGCGUCUCGCUGAUGCUCGCCAUGCAGCUCCCGGCAAGAGUCUUGCCGCCUGUUCGGUCGCAGUAAAAGAUCAAACCGGGAAGCUCGCAAGGCAAGAUUUUUCUGAAUGAAGGAAGAUCAUAAGAUUUUUCUGGGUGAUGAAGGAAGAUCACAAUCGAAGCUGAACUUACCGCCGAUGAGAGCGAAUGCGGAGACUUGCAGGGGCUUAUCGGGGAUGCCGAGCAGGAUCAUCUUGCCGUGGGGUUUGAGGAGCGCCAGGUACGGGUGCAGGGACGCGGCGGCGGACGCCGUGUUGACGAUGCCGUGCAUGGUGCCCGCGGCGGCCUUCAUCUCCGCCGCGUCGGUGCUGAGGACGAACGCGUCCGCGCCCAGCCGCUCCAGCGCCUCCUCCCGCUUCCCGGGCGACGUGCUGAUCACCGUCACCUUCGCCGCCCCGAACGCCCUGGCGAACUUGACGGCGACGUGCCCGAGCCCGCCGAGGCCGAUCACGCCCACGUGGCUGCCGGGCGCGCCCAGCCCGUGGCGCCGCAUGGGGGCGUACACGGUGGCGCCCGCGCAGAGCAGCGGCGCGGCGACGUCGAGCGGCAGGGCGUCGGGGAAGCGGACGACGAAGCGCGCGUCGGCGACGACCAGGUCGGAGUAGCCGCCGCGGGUGACGGCGCCGUCCCUGUCGCGGGAGUUGUAGGUGAGGACGACCCUGGCGCAGUAGUUCUCGGCGCCCUCCUCGCAGCUCUCGCAGGCCCGGCAGGUGUUCACCAUGCAGCCCACGCCCACCCUGUCGCCGGCCGCGAACCCCGCCACGUUCUUGCCGACCUCCGUCACCACCCCGGCAAUCUCGUGCCUGCAACCAUAUAAUCGGUGAUUAUAACAAGUUGUGGCACGGUGAUCAGCCUGGCGAUCUCGUGGCUCCUGUGAGUGAUGUGUGAAGUUUACCCGGGGACGACGGGGUAGAUGGCGUUCCUCCAGUCGUUCUUGAUGGUGUGCAGGUCGGAGUGGCAGAUGCCGCAGUAGAGCACCUUUAUGGCCACGUCGUCGUCACCAGUGCUCCUGCAGAAUUAACGGCGAUAUUAGAUUCUCACGAACCAGUCCAGACGAUUCUACUGCAUCGGAAGGGAUCGUGUCAGAAACACAACCAUCUCCUCUGCCAUGCACUCUCACCCAUGAGCACGUCUCAGAACUGCAAUUUGCUGACGCGGGGUACAUAUUCAGAGCUCACAAUGACAAUGGAGACUACUAACCUUAAUCAUUCGAGAUUUGCAUCUGAAAAUUCAACUAGUUACUGAUAACACCAACUCUUUAAACUACUUCCUACGUGUCCCAGAUUACUUUUCACUCAAAUGGAUAUAUCUACCACUAAUUUGAGCGACAAGUCAUUCGGGGCAGAUGGAGUGUUUAUUUGUCCGAUCUCUUGCAUUACUAGUAGGAGAUUAACCGCGUGUCGGCGUGUGCCCUUCUACAUAUAUGUCUUGCGACCUUUCGUAUGUCUUGCCUCCUACGAAGGGUUUGCACUGCUGUUGUAGCUGACAGAGGACACAUGCAUGGUCAAGCGAACAUCAACAAGGUGAGCUGGCCUACUCGCAAAAAAAAAGAGAACAUGUUGAGCUGGCCGGCACAAUAAACGAGAUAAAAACUGUAACAAAUCCUCUCUGCGGGCUGAAUCCGGUCUCGGGGACAGUGGGGCAUCUUCAUCCAUCUCCCAUAAACUCAGCCAUGUGCGGGUGCAGCAGGCAGGAGCGGGGCGAUGAACAACUUGACGUUCCACCAAGCGUACAUAUACGUAGCAACGCAAUUGAAUUGCCUUGAAUUAAUGCAUAGUAACUGCCAGCCAGCUAGAGAAGAAGGAGGCCCAGGCCGAAACGAGUAUACGUAGCGGAUGGCAGGACAUGUUGUGGACUGAGGUAUGCAGCAGCCAGAAAGAUCAGGUUGGUGGCGGGCACCAUAAGUUCUUUGCAGGGGCAGCGAUAAAAUUCACCUUCACUCCAAGAACUUUCAAGGAAAGAAUGAAGGUUCGGUACCUGCAGCUGCAGUUGAAUUGAGGUCUGACCCGAUCUGGUAUGAUGUGUGUGUGGAUGAUGCAGAGAGCAGUGAAUGGGUAAAGGUUUAGCAUCGGCAGCUCUACCUGCAUGUUACUCUUACUUAAUUGCCUAUCACCAACUCAGAACUGAAGUCGCCAGAAUUUCAUAGUUGAUAUUGUGAGUUGCAACCUGGCUACAAUGAUUUUACUUUGGGUAUGGCUAGAUCUCAAUCAACUGAUACUUAACGAAGUCUUAGUCAAGUGAGAGAACAUAAAAAGGAAGAACGAAAAAAAACUAAAAGAAAAUUUUACACGGAUCUCUACGUAGGAUCUAACGAGUAUAGCAUCGACUAAGACUUCGUCAAAUCUCGAUCGUCCGAGAUUUAGCAACUCCGUUUUACUUUACUGAUUCUUCAGAAAUCACUGUCGAUCGCUUGGAACAAGAGGGUUCGAGAGGCUGAGCAAGAAGUAGUAAGUAUAUUUUCCUUGUAGAACAGUAUAAUACUAAAAGAAGGCUCGACCGUUACUUGAGUAGUACCACUUGCGGGAAAAUAUGGCGUAAAUAAUAUUGUCCCUUCUCCGACUCCGCAUGGGGCGAAGUGACAGGUCGUAGUUUACUUGAGAUACGAAAUUAAGAUCAGCUACGCGCGUACACUGACCACGGAACCAAAUUCAGAGUCUCAAGCUUGCACUUAAUUGGUGUGCUUGAUCUGAACCGCAAACUAGCACGACGCGCACAGGCCUAUACUGAGUCUGUUCCCACAGCCCCAGCUGAGCUAGCGCAGGCGUAGAAAUUACAAACCGGAACGAUUCCCCGCAAUGGCGACUGCCGGUGUGUCUCCGACAAGAGACGGACAGGGGAUGGGGAUGGGCUAGCUAGAUAGGGGAGCGUGCGUGCGUGCGUACCUUCGGGGGAUGCGGAUGGGCGAGAGGUGGCCGGAUGCGUCGUGCGCCGCGAGCCCCACCGCCUUCCUCGGGUGCUGCUGCUGCUCCGCCGCCGUCGUCGUCGUCGUUGCCGUAGGCGCCAUUGCGGAUGGGCGACGGUGGCCGGAGAAAGGGAGAAGCGACUCGUCUUGGGUGGCUUUUGCGAGAUACUACUGGUUGAAUGACGGUGCGCCUCCGCGCUGCCUUGUUUUAUAGCGACGCGAGCGCACGCCGGGGGCAGCUGGAGGCGACAGAGCGAGCCGAGCAGGCGUGGCGUUCACAUUGUCCUGCACAGCUGGACUAAACACGAAAGCAUUGUGCGAACGGUCGAACCGAUUGUGUCAUGCCCGCUCGAUCAAGUUUUUACUGCAGUACUAGCUGAGUGCCCGUGCGUUGCCACGGAAUAAAAAAAUGUAUAUGGACACAAUGAAAUAUUCUACUUCAGAAAUAUGCAUUGAGCAUGCAUGGCAAUAUGUGAUUUCAUUUCCGAAGAUUUACUUUCGCUCUAGCAUUUUGUUUUGUUGGACUGAAUAGCACAUAAACAAAGGCUGGCUACAGGGUGCAAGUGCAAAACACUUAAAACUCUAGGCACCUAAUGUGAAGAACAAUUAAAAAAUUGGGUUUUCUGGGUAAUUGAAUAGAUCUAAUGAAGAUCAACUAUGUUCCUCGUCUCAGAAAUUUAUAACUGUAGUUGUAUUAAGUAAAUUUUGCAGUGAACCAUGUUUGCUCCAUUGUUUUACUGUAGUCUUGAGACCAAAACCAGGAGUCAGAUGCUGGAUUUCCGAACACCAUCUGCUUCAUCGCACAUUAAGCAUCUGAAACAACAUAACUUCCAAUUCACGAAUUUAAGAGACAGAACAAAAAAAAGGACAAAUGAGAGGAAUAAAAAUUUCAUGCCACAAAUGUAAGGAAAUAUGGAGUGUAAUACAUUACAAUUGGUACAUCCUACAUGGUCAGCCGAUUAUAACUCAUAUUAGAUUGAUGUAUUGCAUGGUUCACUUCCGGCCUUUGAUGCAAUAUCUGCAAAGCAAAAAGAAUUGAAUGAAUGAACAAACUGGAUGACCUUGUUGCCCCCUUGAGACUGACAGAGAAAGAUUUUGUAGCUACACAUAACUUCACCGCCAUAGGUAAUCAUUUACAUUGCCAAUUUGCUAUGCUGGUAUAGAAGACUAAAUCACAGGCAAUGGAUUUUGUGAUUUCAGGUCAUAGAAAGAGAACUACCUUAUGGAAGGGGCUGAAGUGGUGAAUUCAAAUUUUAUGACAUGGCACUGAAAUUACAAUUGAACGGUCAUUGUAAAUGAUACAUCUGUCAACAUUUUGUGUGACUGGAACAAUGACUCCUCAAAACUGAUAACAGGGACAUAUCUCUGAGAUUAAAUAAGUCACUUGCUUUCUUUCUGGCAGGAAAAACUGAAAAAGAAAGGCAUGUCAGACACUCAGACAUACGAACCUGCUUUUCGACAAUGCUUCGAGGAAUUUUAUACAUAUUUCUUUCAUACAAAAAAGUGUGUCUUGUGGCAAACAAAUUUUUACAACCAAAUUUUCAUAUGAAGUAUCAAGACGCUCAAUUUGAGAUGAACCAUAGAAAUAACUUGGCAACCAUACGCUAACCAUUGUUAAGAGCUUCCAUGUCACACAGAUGUGCCUUAUUCUUAAAUUAUAUACUCUUCCCUCAAAAGGUAAACUAAUAUACUCUCUUACAUAUCUUCUCCCAGGCAAGCUAGUAUUCUUGGCUCCUGCCUUGUGUCAAAAAUUUAAAUUAUGAGCAAUUACAAUUUCAUAUCACAGUCAAUAUAUGCAGUUUGGAGUGUGGGACAAUGGCUUGGAGCGUGAGAGCACACCAAAGCAUUAAAUGUAGCAAUGUGGCGCUUGCUCCCUGUACACAUGAUGUAUCUAAAUGACACAAGAGAUGUAUAUGACUCAAGGAACUGCAUGACAAAAACUGAAGUUGCUGGAUCUCUCUCACAACACUACACAAGUAUUUGGACAUGAAAGAACAAGCGCGCCUACACACACGCGAGCACGCAAACAAAUGAUUUCCAUUGCGUAAAAAUCUUGCAACCUUUUCUGGUUUUUUCCUCUUAUUUAUAUGGUCAACUACUGUCGUUUAAAAUACUACUGAAAAAGAGAGAAUAGCUAGUGGGUAGGUAUAUCGGAUGAACCAUCCCAUGUCCACCUGAACCCAGCCACUGCGACGCUGCUUGCACUGGAUUCGUGGCAUCCCACGAAGCACAUGCAUCGGUAAGAUCUAACUAACCGAGAAUUACACUAAGACAUGGACAUGCACACAUUACUUGGUUGUUAUUGGUAGAAAAAUAAAAUUAAUAAUGCUAGGGACCAAGCAAAACGGGAUUACAUGCACAUAAAAAACUGCCCGGACUUGAACUGCGAAGGAAAUCACUCCGGCUACACCCGGAUGAGCUGAAGUGCACAUGGUGGCGUCCACCAUGACCACCACCACAUUGGAGGCAUUGCCGGCAUAGCCGAGUCUCCCACAACUAAUAUCAAUGUGUAUGCUAAUAUUUUUGGGUAUAAGUUGUAUCUGGGAAGGCAUACAGAACCAGAACUAAAUAGGAUCGAUGCACCAUUGCCAACACUGGUCAACUGAUUAUUUAGUGAUACACUGGGAGGCAACAGGAAGCAAGUACCCAAAACACUGAUUAUUUAGUGAUACACUGAGAGGCAACAAGAAGCAAGUACUAAAAACUGUAAGUGUAGAACCUACAAGAAAGUAAACCAAUCCAGACUUACAUAUCUGGUCACAUUAGCCGCCAUAUGAACAGAAAAUCAAAUGAAACUUACCUGCUUCCUCCUCUUGGUUCCAAUUAUCAUCAUCAUCAAACUCGAUAUUCUGCAGAGUGCGGCCAUGUGAGCCAUAUUUGCAAUAUGAAAGACAAAGAAAUGAUACAUCACUGCUGGUCUAUGAUUUUAUAAUGGGUACCCUUUCAUAUUUUUCCAUGUGAAGGAACACACAUAGAUCAUACUGUUUCACCAAAAUCAUGAGCCUAUUAAAACACUUAUUUCUACCACAAAGAAUACCUCAGUGCAUAAAGAUUCGAAGUACUAACCUAUUUAUAAUUGUCAUCCCAACUUUCUUCCUCUUCCACUCCCCGUUUUCCUUAUAUCACUGUCCUUUUCGAUCUUGUCCUCUCCAUACUAUUAAUAAGCCAAUCUCUGUCAGCACAGUGGCAUAAGCAUAAUCUCACUAUUUCCGUAAUGUGUAAUGUCAAACAGAGUAUAAGACUAUAAACCAGUAAAUAUUGUAUCUACAAUAGGAUGAUGUUUUCCAGAUUGAUUCCAACAACUCAAAAAUAAACUAAAAGGUAAUGAUGUAUUUCCUUGAGCUUGCCUUCAAGUUUCUCAAAUAGCUCAAAUGACUGGCAAAUAAAUAUGGCAAGAUCCAUGUAAAGGGUCAAUGUAUGUACACCUUAAUAAUAUCUAGCCUAGAAGUGUUCGUUUAAGUUUCACUGAUGCCAUAGACAUGCCAAUAGGAUGGUGUAAACAAAAUAGUUUCCUCAAAAAAGAAAAACGUCCCAGAAGAAGCUACAGUGAUUCUAGCAAACCUGCCACUCUAUCUCACCAAACUGUUUUCUUAAUUGGUUGACCUCAUCUUGAACUUGAAGAGUAAAAACAAUAUUAACUAUCUAUUGUGCUAAAAACACAUAGAAAAUAACAGAAAUAGUAUUUACUUCAAGACUACCAUGUUGUAGUUCUGUAGGAAAAUUUGCAGGAAUCAGUCUGAGGAUUGAUGCAAGAGCUUCACAUUUGCCUUUUAUUUCACACCUCGGUAUCUCUGUCAUCACUCUGCAGUUUUCAUGACAGCGGCUUCGUUGUCCCAUUCAUGCAGUUGCAUACAUCCACGAAGGAGGGAAAUAUCACAGUUGUAGAAAGAAAACGUGCGUCAGCAUCACAAGUCAAAACUAAAAGGCAGAUAAUAGGAUCAUGAAAGACAGCGUCAGCAUGACAGGACCAAACCAAAAGGAUGGGUGGAUAUGGUGGUAGUUCCAUCCACAUAAACCUGCACAAGAAGUGAAAGCAAAGGUUGAAUGCCUUGAGAACACAAACAGACAUGCAAGAUCACCACACUUCAAGAUAAGAUUAAUUCAGGAAUGAAACCAUAGGCAUGGCGCACACAGACAUAACCUUUUAGAUGAGAAAUUGAGGAUCCUGAGGAGGGAGGGGGGACAAGUGUGUGGCGGGGCUCUGCCACCUCUCGAUGUUCGACAGGCGCCACCAGAUCACAUUCCCCACGGUCAUCGGUCCCCAGCACGCCAGGGGAGGGCAGGGCAUCCCCUGGAGAUAGAUGAGAGGAGUGUGUCGCCGCCUCCAGGGGAGGGCAGGACAGGGGAGGGAAAGAGUAACCGACCCUAUCAAGACGGGCAAGGCCUCCGAUGAAGGUGAGGGUGAGGGCUGGGUCAGGGACACCUCGACCUCGUUGACGCGGCUGAAGCCAUCAUUUACCCGUGGGCGGCGCUUGAGCGCUAGGAAGGCAUGAGCACCUGCGCUAGUGCGGUGAGCGAAGGGGAGGAUGAGUCAGGCCACGGCCUUGGGGGGGAGGCGGGCGAAUGGUGGAGGAGACCUGAGGUGAUCACCGAUCUGGAUGGCGGUAGGGGAUUUUUCUCGCGAGAGAUGGGAUGGGAGGAGCGAUGGGUUUGGUGACGAGAGUUCGCGGCAGGGAACGUGUGUGCCUGGUUGUGGCCUCGUGGGUGCUUUUUCUACGGAGGUUGUUUUUCAUUUUCUUUUUAUCGUAGUGGAAGGCUGGUUGGUUCUCAACGUGGAUUGUGUGGGAUCUAUCGAGAGGAGGAGGGAAGGAGGAGGUCGAACCAUCACGACGUUCGAUCCCCUUUUAAUAGUAGAGAUAUAUACGUGACAGCACAGUGUGAUGACAGAUGAUGAUAUAUAUAUAAAGAUGUAAUCAUGUACUCCCUCCGUCCUACAGUGCAUUGGUAUCAAAAAAAAGUCUUACAUUAUGAGACGAGUACUUAAUAAGUACUCUCUUCGUCCCAUAAUAUAAGAACGUUUUUGAUAUUAGUGCAGUGUUAAAAACGUUCUUAUAUUUUGGGACAGAGAAAGUAAUUGUUAUGAGUCACAAACACCAUCGUUUGGAUAUUUUCCUUUUCCAACUCUUGAUCCGCGGCAUAUGACAACAAUUGAGUACUCAAACGGUAUCACCCUAUCAAGAACCUCUCACGUGGUGCUCUCGAUUUAACUUCAAUUCGGAUGCAGUCGGACUUCUAAGAGCAUCUUUAAUAGAUGAUGUAUAUUUUGGUGCUUCAAACUGGUGACGUAAAAAUUUGAAGCACCAAAAAGUGUUUUUUACAUCUUCGAAAAAACCUCCACUCCAACAGAUGGUCCAAAACAAAGAUGUAAAAGAGCAACUCUAACAGACGAUCCAAAACGAAGAUGUAAAACCGGCCGCUGGCCGCGCAGCUACUGUUCAUCCGUUGUAUAGCCACAGUUUUGCAUUGAAAUAUCACUUCAAAUUUUAAAUUAAAGUGCAUCAUCAUCAUAGUUUCAAAUCCCUAACAAAAGUGCAUCAUCAUCAUAGUUUUAAAUCCCUAACAAAAGUACAUCAUCCCAAUCAAAGUUUUUCACCCUACAAAUUAAAAUGCACAUAAAUAUCAUUCAUGCGGGUCAUCAACACCACCGGCGUUGUGAACCGUGGUACGAUCAUCAUCAUCACCGGCUUCUUUGUCGACGUUGUGAAGCGGUGAAGUCUCGUUGCCGGCAGCACAGCCGGAAGCACCUUCAUUGCCUCCCAUGCCAGUCAUGUUGCCGAAGAAGCCACCUCCAACGCCACUCAUGUUGCCACCAUAGCCACCUCCGAAGCCACCCAUCAUGUUGCCGCCAAAGCCACCUCCCAUGCCGGUCAUGUUGCCUCCGAAGCCACCUCCCAUGCCACCAAAGCCACCUUCCAUGUUGCCACCGAAGCUACCUCCCAUGUUUCCGCCAAAUGCACCAUUCAUGGCAACCCCCAUCAUGUUCAUGUAGCCACCCAUGGCACUUCCCAUGCCUCCUCUCAUCAUAAUUUGCCUCAUGAGCAUUUCAUCAUGACAAAGUUCAACAUAGGCCUUUGCCUUGGGAUCAAGAGUAGAUGUGUCCUCGAGUGCCUUUUCCUCGACCAUCUUCAUCUCCUCGGUCGCCGCCCUCUUCUCCUCGGUCGACGCCCUCCACCGCUCGGCCUCACUCCUCUCCUCUAUCUCCUUGAGCUUGAACAUUCUUGUUUCUUUGGCAUAGUCUUUCCUUGCCGUGAUAAUGGCAUCAAAUCAUUCCUUGAGAUCAUUGUCUCCGGCCUUGGCUCCCUUCACUUUCUUGUUUGCAUCGGGCCUAUAAGAUUUUGUCGCGGAGUGAGGAGUGGGGCUCCUUCUCUCCUCACCGACGACAUCUUCUUAAUCCUUAGUCAUCACACUCUUCUUCUUCGAAGCAUCAAAAGUAUCUCUAGUUUUCCACUUCUCCUCAUCCUUGAGCUCUUUGUAGCAAUGAUGAAAAGUGAAAGCAACCAUUGUGCAAUCAUUUUCUACAAUAAAACAACCAACAUGUCAUCAUCAAAAUGUGGAACAAUCCAAUAUUUGCGAAAGCACGCACGAAGAGGAAAUAUUUACCAAGUCACUAUCACCGCAACCACUUGGGUUCAUGCGAGCAACAUUUGACAAGCAACUGGCCCACUUUUGGCAUUCGACAUUGAUGGUGGACCAACGUUGACGAAGAGAGUCGCUCGAAUGGAAGUGACCACUUGUGUUGCGCUCAUCGAAGUGAUCCUUGAUGCAUUGCCAAUAGGUGUUUACCGUUUGGUCGCUUCCAACGGAUGCAUCUUGAGAGACUUUCUUCCAUGCGGUGUGUUAGAAGGGAAUAGAGGAGAUUGGCGGAAUCGUUCAUUGUAUUGCUUGAGCCUCGUGGGCAUAUAUAUAGGAGUACAUGAUCAUCUUGGAGUACAAGUCAGGGUAGAAUAAAUUCUACGCUAUCCUACAUUUCCUAAUUAACCCUUAUACUCAACAUCCCUCCGCAGUCACAAUGGUAGCGACGCAGACGGUGAGACUGGAGAAGAAUCUGAAGGCAAGCCGACGGACACCCCCCCAUAGUCGUAAUGGUCGAUGCAUCAUGGAGUCGUGGCUGGAGUGAAAACCGACGAGCUUGCUCAAGCAAGGCGGUAGCCCUUUGUGCCGUUUAUCAAUGUAGUCAAGAGCGUAGGGUGGUGUAGCCUGAUACGUCUUCAAUAUAUCUAUAAUUUUUGCUUGUUCCAUUAUCAUUCUUAGAUGUUUUACAAUCAUUUUAUAGCAACUUAUAUCAUUUUUUUUGGACUAACCUAUUGACAUAGUACCCAGUGCCAGUUGCUGUUUUUUGCUUAUUUUUUACUUCGCAAAAUAUUAGUACAAAACGGAGUUCAAACACAGCGAAACAUUUUGGAGAUUUUUUCUGGACCAGAAGAUACCAAGUGGGCCAAAGAAGUACCAAAGGGGAGGCCCAAGGUGGACACAACCCACUAGGGCGCGCCAGGAAGCCCAGGUGUGCCUAGGGGGGUUGUGCCCCCGGCCCCUCGGUGACCUUGGCCCUAUAAAUACCCAAUUAUUUCAAAAACCCUAGGGGAGUCGACGAAACACAAUUCCAGUUGGUGCAAGUUCCAAAGCCACGAGAUCUAAUCUAGACACCAUCACGGAGGGGUUCAUCAUCCUCAUUGGUGCCUCUCCGAUGAUGUGUGAGUGAUUCAUUAUAGACAUACGGGUCUGUAGGUAGUAGCUAGAUGGCUUCUUCUCUCUUUUUGAUUCUCAAUACAAUGGUCUCUUGGUGAUCUAUUUGAUGUAACUCUUUUUUGCGGUGUGUUUGUUGGGAUCCGAUAAACUUUGAGUUUAUGAUUAGAUCUAUAUCCAUGAAUAUUAUUUGAAUCUUAUUUGAUCUCUUAUAUGCAUGAUUAUUUAUAGCCUCGUAUUUCUUCUUCGAAUCUUUGGUUUAGUUAGGCCAACUAGACCGAUUUUUCUUGCCAUGGGAAGAGAUGCUUUGUGAUUGGUUCAAUCUUGUGGUGUUCUUUCCCAGUGACAGAAGAGGCAGUAAGACACGCAUGUAUCGCUGCUAUUAAGGAUAACAAAAUUGGGGCUAUUCCCACAUGAAUAGAUCUCGUCUACAUCAUGUCAUCAUUCUUAUUGCAUUACUCCAUUUCUUUAUGAACUUAAUACAAUAGGUGCAUGCUGGAUAGCGGUCGAUGUGUGGAGUAAUAGUAGUAGAUGCAGGCAGGAGUAGGUCCACUAAUCUUGAACGUGAUGCCUAUAAAUUGAUCAUUGCCUUGGAUAUCGUCAUAAUUAUUCGAUCUUCUAUCAAUUGCCCAACAGUAAUUUUUUACCCACCGUGUGCUAUUUUCUCGAGAGAAGCCACUAGUGAGAUCUACGCCCCGGGUCUGUUCUUUAUCAUAUUUGCUUUGAGAUCUAUUUUCAUUCCCUUUUAUUUCCAGAUCUGUUAUUCCAAAAACUCAAAAAUACCUUGUUGCAUUUUAUUAUUAUUUAUUUCCGUGUUUUAUCGAGAACUAUUUAUCUAAUCUACCAUAAAUAUUUUCCCGUCAACUUUGACAAUUUUUGGCACCGUUACCUUUGACAACCCCUCAUACGCGUCGGGUUACAAGUAUUUGUUCUUUGUGUGUAGGUACCGUUUACAUAGUGUUGCUUAGUUCUCCUACUGAAUUGAUACCUUGGUUUCAUAACUGAGGGAAAUACCUACCGUAACUGUACUGCAUCAUCCCUUCCUCUUUGGGAAAAUACCAAUGCGGUUUCAAGCGACAUCAUAGCCGUGGUCAAGGUAGCCGUGCGAAGAAUGCAGUGGUCGAUGUCGAGUCGGGGUGGCCGGUAUCGAGGAAGUCGAUGUGGAGCCACGGACGCAAGGAGGCGCCAUGUUAGUCAUAGACGCAGUGGUGUUGAAGUAGUGGUGUGAUGUGAAGAAGACAUUGUUAACGACGCGUCACGCCGGGUUUGCCAAUCCCAGGAACACAUUGUUGAAAAACAUUGCAUAGAAAACAAAAACAAUUCUACGCACACGCAAGAUCUAUCCAUGAAGAUGCAUAGCUGAAGAAAAUAUGCCCUAGAGGCAAUAAUAAAGUUAUUAUUUAUUUCCUUAUAUCAUGAUAAAUGUUUAUUAUUCAUGCUAGAAUUGUAUUAACCGGAAACAUAAUACAUGUGUGAAUACAUAGACAAACAGUAUGUCACUAGUAUGCCUCUACUUGACUAGCUCGUUGAUCAAAGAUGGUUAAGUUUCCUAGCCAUUGACAUGGGUUGUCAUUUGAUUAACGGGAUCACAUCAUUAGGAGAAUGAUGUGAUUGACUUGACCCAUUCCGUUAGCUUAGCACCCGAUCAUUUAGUAUGUUGCUAUUGCUUUCUUCAUGACCUGUACAUGUUCCUAUCACUAUGAGAUUAUGCAACUCCCGUUUACCAGAGGAACACUUUGUGUGCUACCUAACGUCACAAUGUAACUGGGUGAUUAUAAAGGUGCUCUACAGGUGUCUCCGAAGGUACUUGUUGGGUUGGCGUAUUUCAAGGUUAGGAUUUGUCACUCCGAUUGUCGGAGAGGUAUCUCUGGGCCGUCUCGGUAAUGCACAUCACUUAAGCCUUGCAAGCAUUACAACUAAUGAGUUAGUUGCGGGAUGAUGUAUUAUGGAACGAGUAAAGAGACUUGCCGGUAACGAGAUUGAACUAGUUAUUGAUAUACCGACGAUCGAAUCUCGGGCAAGUAACAUACCGAUGACAAAGGGAACACCAUAUGUUGUUAUGCGGUCUGAUCGAUAAAGAUCUUCAUAGAAUAUGUGGGAGCCAAUAUGAGCAUCCAGGUUCCACUAUUGGUUAUUGACCGGAGACGUGUCUCAGUCAUGUCUACAUAGUUCUCGAACCCGUAGGGUCCGCACGCUUAACAUUUCGACGACAGUUAUAUUAUGAGUUUAUAUGUUUUGAUGUACCGAAGGUUGUUCGGAGUCCCGAAUGCGAUCACGGACAUGACGAGGAGUCUCAAAAUGGUCGAGACAUGAAGAUUGAUAUAUUGGAAGCCUAUGUUUGGAUAUCGGAAGUGUUCCGGGUGAAAUCGGGAUUUAUCGGAGUACCGGGAGGUUACCAGAACCCCCCGAGAGGUUAAUGGGCCAUAGUGGGCCUUAGAGGAAGAGAGGAGAGGCGGCCAUGGCAAGGGUCGCGCGCCCCUCCCCGUAGUCCGAAUAGGAUAAGGAGAGGGGGGCGGUGCCCCCCUUUCCUUCUUCUCCUCCACCUCCCCCCCCAAGUCCUAAUCCAACUAGGAAAAGGGAGGGAGUCCUACUCCCGGUGGGAGUAGGACUCCUCCUGGCGCACCCCCUCUCCUGGCCGGCCGCACCCCCCUUGCUCCUUUAUAUAUAAGGACAGGGGGCACCCUAGACACAACAAUUGAUCGUUUGAUCUUUUAGCCGUGUGCGGUGCCCCCUCCACCAUAGUCCACCUCAAUAAUACUAUAGCGGUGCUUAGGUGAAGCCCUGCAUCGGUAGAACAUCAUCAUCGUCACCACGUCAUCAUGCUGACGAAACUCUCCCUCAACACUCGGCUGGAUCGGAGUUCGAGGGACGUCAUCGGCCUGAACAUGUGCUGAACUCGGAGGUGUCGUGCGUUCGGUACUUGAUCGGUCGGAUCAUGAAGACGUACGACUACAUCAA